CUUUUGAUUUGGUGGGUUUUUUGGGGGGUGGGGGGUGUCAUUCAGCUCUCUUGGACAGUGUGACACACCAGUAGGGCAGCAGUGGCUGACAAGGAGCAGCAAUGCGAGGACUUUUAAGACUGACCAUACAAAAAGAAAAGGAAAGCCAAAUACAGUGGUACCUCAGGUUAAGUACUUAAUUUGUUCUGGAGGUCCGUUCUUAAUCUGAAACUGUUCUUAACCUGAAGCACCACUUUAGCUAAUGGGGCCUCCCGCUGCUGCCGCGCCGCCAGAGCACGAUUGCUGUUCUCAUCCUGAAGCAAAGUUCUUAACCUGAAGCACUAUUUCUGGGUUAGCGGAGUCUGUAACCUGAAGUGUAUGUAACCUGAAGCGUAUGUAACCUGAGGUACCAUUGUAAACUUUAAAAUGCAGGGCUUCUGGUUUGGGCCAGCUUUUCCCAAAAAUUAACUAAUGUUUAAUUUGGUAUUAGGUAUGUUUUUGAAAUGAUUCCCAAACUCCACCCCCGCCCAUGGCCCACUUGAAAAUUGCUGAGGGUCUUGACGGAUAACCCAAUGAGUUUUCUGCCUGUUGUAGCCGUUGUAACACACUGUGCUAGAUGUUCUAUGAUUUGGCUUCUAAAUUGUAUUUUCACAGACAAGUCAUGAACCACCUGAAUGAAGCUUGUGGAUUAUUGUGGUCCACAGUCCACGUUUUGGGAAGUGCUGCACUUAUUAGAUAUUUCUGCCCUUCUAUCAUAAAAACUCAAAACUGAUCGCACCAUUUUCAAACUCUAUGGCUGCCAUAUUAUACCCAAUAACUUGAGAGCAAAUUCUAUUGAAUUCAAUGGGAGUGUACUUCUGAGUAAAUGUCCAUUGGAUUACAUUAUAAAGCUGCAGUCCUAUGCAUACUCACCUGGCCCAUUAAACACGGCAGGACAUGCAUAAGAUUGUGCAGGACACAACUCAGAAACAUUUCAAGAUUUUUAAAACAACAACAUGCAAAUCCCAAUAAGGCUAACAUUCUAAAUAAGCACCACCCCACCCUGAUACACUGAAAGCUGACCCAACUUACAGGAUUUCUAGAGCAUUCUCUCUCCUCUGCACCAGUUAAUGAGCCCUAGGACUGAGAAUCAAUAAAAGAGGAAUGCAAGGAGAUAAACUGUGAAUUAAUAACCAGCCGUUAAACUAGGUCCCCUUUGCUUCUGCUCCUUCAGCUCCAAGGACAUUUUAGCAGCAAGUAGACAAAAGGGCAUUGCUUUUAUAAUCCUUGAAUGUGGCUUCCGGGAUGACAAUUUUUGUUUUAAAUUGACAUGGUAGUAACCUGGUAGCCCUGUUCAGCAGAGGCUGUACACUAUCUAAUCUGCCGUGCAGUUGUGCAUGAUUUGGUCCCCACUGAAAGGCAAAGGCAGCUCGCUCACUCCAACCACUAUUUAAAAGGGGGCAAAAGAAGCAAGAGCGAAACAAGACAGCAGGAAGACUGGGGAGCCUCACAAGUGGUGUUGGUUUCACAAGGGCUUCUUUAGACUGGCAGCAGUGGCGGAAGGAAAGCCUUGACUAUUUUAAUGAUGGUUUUAUGCUCUUUAAGUAGACAAAUGUAACUGGGAUGAAAUAGCACACACAUUGUGAAAUCUCCCUCACACACAGUAUGGAGCUCCUUUGAUGAAGGGUGGGGUGCAAACUUCAUCACCUCUAUAUGCAUAUUUUUAUUGAUUCUCUUGUUUUCAGUUCAAUGCUGCUUCAAGACAGCCAUAAUCCACAUUCACGUUUUAAGCAUUUGAAUCAUGGAACUGUAGGCUUGGAAAGGGUCCUCAAAGCUCAUCUAAACCAAUGCCUGUAGAUGCAGGAAACCCAUAACUCCCGCAUGCUUGACAGGUGGACAUCCAGCCUCUGUUUCAAGAUCUCAAAUGAAGGAGAGUCUGCCACCUUCGGAGGCAGUCAGUUGCAUGGUUCUUCCCAGCGUUUAGUCUAAAUCCUUCUAAUUUAAACCCUGGUCUCACUCUGAAGCGUGCCCUACUGUGUUCAUUGAGGCUUAUUCCCAAGAAAGACUGUAGCUUGGGAAGCGCUUAGCUUUGGCUAGGUUGAGCUAUACCAAAGUAAUUAUUCAUUGCCAAUUAAGUAGCAUCUGAGCACUUCAGAUAUUACAGAUGAACAAUCCUAUUAAAUCUGCCAUGAAAGCGCACAAGAGGCAUAUAUAGUUGAUAAUUGGUAAAAUAGUUUUCCCCAUCUUUAUUUUCUACAAACAUAAAAUCUUAAACCAUGAAGUAUUGAGAUCAGGCUCAGCUGAGAGCCCAGUGAACAAUGGAAAAAUGUUUCUCAAUCAUUCUUUUAGAUUCCCAUGGAGGUUUGCCAAUGUGUUUUGCUCAGCUCUUCCUCUCCCCCCUUCAGCAAUUGAAUAAAAUAAUUAUUCUCAUGUGAGUCUCUGCAUUAAUAUUAUGAAAAAUCAUUUUAUACUCUAAUAUGGCUACGCUCAAAUUACCUAUCCAGACUAGGGGUUCAAAUACGGUACCUGGCUGAUGUCUUAAAAUAGUAAUGUUAACUAGAUGGAGAAGCAUUCAAAUAAAUUAGACUCUAGAAACUAUAAAACCAGUAGAAACAUCCACGUUUCUACUUACAAUAUACUCGGGAUGUAACUGAAUCAUUGCUGUUCCACAAUUAAGUGCCUUAGGGUGCAAUAGCCAAAUCACUGCACAUGCAGAAGUUCAGAGCCCCUGAAGUUAUGGGAAUGUCGCAGAGGUGCUAUGACAAGUAUUUAGGGCUUUGGGCCUCAGGCUGAACUAUUCUCAAGGCAAACAAAGAAGGCACAAUUUAUUUAUUUAAUUUGCUGCUGCAAGAUAUGGUGCCGCUGACCCAGAUGGCUUAAGAGGGGAACCCACUGUUAUUAGUAAUGAUAAUUAAAUGGAUAUUUCAUGAUCAGAGGCAGUGUACCUCUGAACACCAGCAACUGGAGGAGGGACACAGCCUUAAUGCCUUGUUUGUGGGCUUCCCAGAGGCCACUGUUGGAAAAAAGAAUGUUAGACCAGAUACUAGACCUUUUAUCGUCUGAUCCAGCAAGACUCUUCUGAUGUCUUAAGUGCCACAUAUCCUGAAUGGAUCUAUCUUUAAACUAAAUCUGGGGUGGCCGUGUUACCUGGCUCCUGAGAGCCCUGCUGAAAGAUCUCAUAUCAAUAUAAUAAUUCUCCCUUGAUACGUUGUGCAUCAUGUCCCAACAGCGUCCAAGCAAUGUUUGCUCCAUACCUUAUUUAGCUCUUAAUGCCUGGCACCAGCUUUUGUUUAAAGAGCUUGACCAGCUGUUACAGGGUAGGGACUGAGUGGGAAGGGAAGCUUGUGGGCCCCACACCACUGUUUGAAGAAUGGUCUGGUUCCUUGCUACAAAGAACACGGUUCCUCUGUGCUAAGUGCAAUAUGGCAUCUGUCAAAUGUGCGUGCAGGGCACAGCUCUGCCAUGCUAGAAUUAAUUUAGAGCUUCCUAAUGUGAGUUCGUCCUGCUUUCUUUCAUGCACUGUCCUCCACCAAAUUCUCUGUUAUCUUCUCUCUGUUGCUCCUUUUUCUUUUCACAGUGUAGCAAAGCAGUGCUAAUGUGGCCAGGGAACUGCAAAGCCACCUACUUUGUUGGUAUCUUUGUCAACAUGAUGAACCAUAGAACAGUAGAGUUGGAAAGGACCUCUAGAGACUUCUAGUCUGACCCCCUACAAUGCAGGAUUUUCAACUAAAGAAUCCAUGACAGAUGGCCUUCCAACAUCUUCUUAAAAACCUCAAACGACGGAGAGUCCACAAAAGUUCUACCUGACCCUUAAUAGAAAGCUCCUUUCUUGUAACUUGAAUCCAUUGGCUUAUGUCCCAUCCUCCGGAGCAGGAGAAAAAACUAGCUUGCUCUGUCUUCCACGUGACAGUCCUUUAGAUAUUUGAAGAUGUCUAUCAUGUCUCCUCUCAGUAGCCUCUUAUCCAGGCUAAAAAUACUGAACUCAAACUAGGAGUUGAGCACUGUCUCAGGCUGACUGCUCUGCAAUGGGGAACAAGAGCAAAUAGGUCAGUUUCCUGGGUUAUUGCAAGCCUACAUACCUUAAUUCUCUUACUGAAUGUCAGAAGAGCUGGAUGAUUUUAAAAAUAGUAUCGCUGCAUGUGUUCAAAAAAUAGGAUGAGUUUUGCAUUUUAUUCUGCCCAUUCGAAAGCAUGUUGGGAUGCAUUGAAAGGGUUAGGAAAGAACUCAUCUUUAGAGUUCCCUCUUGUGGAUAUUCUGUGUACAGAAAAAUUCCACAGUGGAUUUAAAAAAUAUUCCUCAAAAUGCAGUCCUGUAUACUGUCAAGCUUAAAGUUGCAAAAGCUGUUUCUUAAAUCAUAUAAACUCCAGGAUGUUGUGGAGAAAAUACCAAUCUAAGCUGGCACAUAUUAACAUUAAUAUUUGCUUUAAAACACAUUUUUAUUCUAUAAAUAAAUAUUUAUUCUAUAAAUAGAAGCCUCAUGAAGAAACAUAAUAUCAAUUUAUUAGUUCUUCUGUCCAGUAAGUAUUCAUUAGUCUUGCUGAAUAACCAGGGUCAUAACCAUGCCAGCUCCUUCCCUAAAUUUUCAGUUAUCAUUUGAAAACAAAAGCAUAAUGGCACAAACUGAUGCCUCCUCACUUGAGAGGCAGUGUGGUUUGGUGAUUAGAGUGUCAGGCUAGGGCUGAGAAAAUGUGAUUAUUACUCUUUUUUAUGUGCUAAAAUACAUAACACAGGGCAGCCCUAAGUACUGUAAAUUAGAUCCCUACUCAGCUAUGAAACUCACCUUGGACCAAUCACUAUCUCUCGGGCUAACCUACAUCACAGGAUUGUUGCAAGGAUAACAGAAAAGGCAGGAUAUAAAUGUAAUAAAUAAAUAUAUGCACAAAGCGCUGCCUGCACCCCACUCCCCAUACAUGGCAAUAUUGAUCUCCUUUACCUAAUAUGACCUUAGCCAGAGGAAGUACGUGGUGUAGCGGUGCCAACUUGAAUAAAAUAUUGAGGGGGCCAGGUAAGCCCCGACUUGCAUUGUCAAUCACGAGACACAGUGCACACACAUCAUUUGAAUGGUAAUGCCCAUUAACUUGGGGGAGGGCUCAAAUGUUUUAUUGUGGGCUCUAGGAGUUGGCUGCUAUGACCUGGUGCAAAUCAACACUCCGAUGGAAGGUUAAAGGUAAAGGGACCCCUGACCAUUAGGUCCAGUCGUGACCGACUCAUUGGCCGAGGGAGCCGGCAUACAGCUUCCGGGUCAUGUGGCCAGCAUGACUAAGCCGCUUCUGGCGAACCAGAGCAGCGCACGGAAAUGCCAUUAUCUACUUGCCUGUUUAUCUACUUGCACUGUGUGCUUUCGAACUGCUAGGUUGGCAGGAGCAGGGACCGAGCAAUGGGAGCUCACCCCAUCACGGGGAUUCGAACCGCCGACCUUCUGAUCGGCAAGUCCUAGGCUCUGUGGUUUAACCCACAGCGCCACCUGCGUCCCGAUGGAAGGUUAGAGCAUACCAAAUUAAGCUUAAGCCACCUGACUCCCUGUGGUACGGUGGAUGCUUUUGUACCUACACAGACCCACAACAUGAGCAAUGUGAGCACAUCAUCCGGGGAAACAAGGUGGUAAUCCUGCUGAUUGGUCGUGCGGACAGGUGCCGUACGCAUUACGAGACAAUUUUAAAGCAGAGCUAACCAGAUGCAGUAAGUGCCGUUGAGGUCACUGGCCACCCCAGAGAACGCACAUAAUGUCAUCUCAGGGAAACACCUCCCGGCCGUGGGAGAACUCAGUAAAGAGAAACACGAUAAAAGAAGCUUAGGUUGUUUUGAAAUCCAAUUAGGAAAUUAAACCGAGAGGAACGUGUUUGGAGAAAAUCCAAAUGCUGCAGCAGGACAAUACCUUUAUUAGGACCAGCUGAAAUGUCACCAAGUAGUGAGCAUGAUUUCAAGUGCUCCAGAACUGCUCUUCAGGUUGGCUGUGUAUGUGAUAAAAUCUAGUCAUGGUGCUGAUGCCCCAACAUUUGUAGACAUUGUGGAUGGUGUUUCCUAUCUACUCAUUUGCCCCACCCUUUAUCUGUAUUUUGAAAUCCAGCCUAAAGAGAAAUCUUGCGCACUACUUUGUGAUAUUUCAGUUCUAAAAAUAUUGCUCUGCGGCAGCUUUCGGAAUUCCCCCCGCCCCCUAUUUGGCAACAUGUUAUAUUCAGAGAAGUUACUUAAUGGCAUUUGGGGGAGAAACCAUUUCACCCAGUGGAGUGAAAAGGGAUAGCACUGAACCAUCAAGAGAAUGCCAAAUCCCAGUCAAUGAAUGACUGCCCGUGGUUUCUAGAAGCUAUCAAUUAUCUGAGCAAAUAUAAUUUAUCAACCUAUUUACUUGUAUCCUGCCCUUUGUCAUAUUUGAGCUCAUCCUCCGUUACACUGUGAAAUCACAUCACCAUGAAAACAGCAGCCUAAAUGGUACUGUUCAGGAAAGUUGAUCAAAAAUAAAAUGAAUUCGAACACAGUUCAAGAAGGCAGGAAUGCCUUAAAAGAGAAGCUAAUGCAGAAGCCAUAAUAAAAUUUUAUACUUCAGGUGCAUCCAUAAAGAUUUCAACCCAUGCACCAUCACAGAAAAGGCUGGUGCCCUUAACAUAGCAGUUGCAAAUAAAUGUUCUGUAUUUAAUAUAUAAGGCUAGAUGGUGAUUGUGGCAAUAGACCACAACCCAUUUUUUACAAAGGCAAUGAACAAACGGCAAGUUAAGAAUAAGCAGCAAUUGUAGAAUUGGGUUGCAACAUGCGCUAAAUAAAUUUAUGUAUACCGCAGUGGCAUUACCAUAGUCUAGAGCAGUAAUUUGCCAUGUGAAGUCAGAAAAGGCCUUAGAAAGUGAAACAAAAGCGUAUGCAGAUUUAAUUGCCCAGCCAUUUCCAUUAGCUAACACAAAUGCAGCAGAUAAAAGCAGACACAAGGAAAGAUGAAUCACUAAGAGACCUGAAAGAAACAGCAGCUAAAGAGGGUGAUCAGAAACCCCAAAGUAGCCGUGGUUUAAAGCCUAAGAUACUCCUAGAGUUGCAAGCCAUGUGAUAACUAGGAGAAAUUUUUGAGCAUAGCUAGCAAGGCAGGGAUAGAGCGAUUAGGCAAAUAAACCAUGAAAAUCAGCUGCACCGCAAUCCCUCACACACUUAACUGACUUACUAACUGAGUAGACACACCUAAGAUUGCACUGUCUGGCCCUGACAUGAAAGAAAAAUACAAAAGGAAGGAAGAAAUCUGAUAAACAAAAUAAUGGUCAUGAUGUUUCAACAUUGUAUCAGUCCUUUCUCUUAUUUCAGAUUUGAACUAAGCCAGAAGGUGGAGCCACUGAAAUUAUACCCAGGUGAAGCAGUAAAUAAUGCAAUUAGGUAACAACCUGAUUUGGAAGAGAAGAUUAUAGGACUCUGCAAAAUGCCAUAUACAUGGAUGGCGCCAUAAUAUGACUUUUUCUGAAUCAAACUGGAGUGUGGGGCAGAUUUUGCAAAUCUGGGGUACAGAAGGCAAUUAAAAAGGUACAGAAGGCAAUUAAAAACUCACAGAUAUUUAAAAGUCAUAUUUUAUGGUGCAUCGCUAUACAGAUUAUUACAUAGUAAAAGAGCUAAUAUAAAAAAAAGAGUGUAAACAGUGUGCUUUCACAUAAAAAAUGGUUGCAAGGUAGCAGCAGAUCAGGGCAACAAUGGGUGUGAAAAAUGUGAAUGAGUGGGAGGGAGGGGUUUUCCACGGACGUUUUUGAACCCCAUGUAAUGACGAUUUUUGCAUUUAAAAAUCGAUCACCAGAAAAAUGCAUCAUAACAAUAAAUAUUAUUAAGGGAUGGCAAGAUAUAAACUUGGAACCCAAAGUAUACUUUAUACCUGCAGAUUGAUAUUAUUAUUAUUAUUAUUAUUAUUAUUACCAGCACAUUGCACAACACUGCAAUCAGUUUUGACAACCAUACUGAAAAGAUGUGCAGUUUCAGACAAUUUCAUGAGCAGUAAUGACUCACUGUUUUAAGUACUGUAGUCAAUUGAAGCUUAAUAAUUGAGAUAUGGCUAGACAACCCCCCCCCCCAAUAAGGGCUGAAUGUUGGUGGUGGAUAGGGCUGAAGCCAUUGGUAGACAGAGCCACUCCUCUUCCCUCUAUGCCACCCUGUUUUCUCUCUUUCUCUUCACCCCCUCUUCACCCCCACUCAGCAGACUGCCAGGAGAGGGACAUAUCACUCUUUCCAGAGGUCUGAACUGAUAGUUUACUUGCAGUUUAGACUAAGGGUUGCAUGGAAUUAGUCAGAUGGCUGCAGGUUCUGAACCCCUGCAUUAAGCACUUGACGUAAAUGGAAGCAAUUGGGGAUGUUUUAAGAGAAUUUAAAUUCAAAAAAAUAUAUUUAGAAUGUGUGAGACCUGAUGUUGAAAACAUUUAACUUGUUUGUUUAAUACACCUCUUGCUUACCUAGGAACACCUCUGAAACAUAGCUGGUUGUCUGCAAAGCUGCUAAUAGGAAGGGGGGGCGAAAUUCACUUCAUCUCCUGUCAGUAUUGAUUUGCUAAAGAAUCAUAGCAAUAGAAACACAUGCUGCAGUUGCAAUAAAUGCAGUAACAGGAAUAAAUAUGAGUAUGAAACAAGAUUGUAACAUGGGAUUUUUUUCGGAGGAAUUGUGUCUUGUCAUAGUAGAAACCAGACUAGAACUAUUAAGGAACAGCUGAAUCUAUAAUACUAUUUUUUAAAUUUAUUUUGGGGGGACAAACACAGAAGACUUAGUCCAAUGGAAUAACUAUCAUAAUUUUUCUGGGUGGGAUUCUAUACUUCCCACAGAGGAAAAAGGGUUAAGAGGUUCUAGAGGGAGCCUAGGAAACAGAAAUGUGUGAGAAAGUGAAAGGAUGGGAAGGGAAUUGGGUAAUCUACUCCUCCUUUCUCCAUCCCCCCUCUCCUUCUUUACCAUUCACCUGCCAAGCUCCAAGUGUGAAGGUAGAGCUGCUGAGAUCCUGGCCUAUCCUUUCCAAUAAUAAUAAUAAUAAUAAUAAUAAUAAUAAUAAUAAUAAUAUAUUAUUUAUACCCUGCCCAUCUGGCUGGGUUUCCCACAGCCACUCUGGGAGGCUUCCAAAAGAAUAUUAAAAUACUGUGAUACAUCAAACAUUAAAAGCUUCCCUAAACAGGACUGCCUUCAGAUGUCUUCUAAAAGUCUGGUAGUUGUUGUUCUCUUUGACAUCUGGUGGGAGGGCGUUCCACAGGGAGCCACUACCGAAAAGGCCCUCUGCCUGGUUCCCUGUAACUUGGCUUCUCACACUGAGGGAACCGCCAGAAGGCCCUCGGUGCUGGACCUCAGUGUCCGGGUAGAACGAUGGGGGUGGAGACACUCCUUCAGGUAUACUGGACCGAGGCCAUUUAGGGCUUUAAAGGUCAGCACCAACACUUUGAAUUGUGCUCGGAAACGUACUGGGAGCCAAUGUAGAUCUUUCAAGACCGGUGUUAUAUGGUUUCGGCGGCCGCUCCCAGUCACCAGUCUGGCUGCUGCGUUCUGGAUUAGUUGUAGUUUCCGGGUCACCUUCAAAGGUAGCCCCACGUAGAGCGCAUUGCAGUAGUCCAAGCGGGAGAUAACCAGAGCAUGCACCACUCUGGCGAGGCAGUCCGCAGGCAGAUAGGGUCUCAGCCUGCAUACCAGAUGGAGCUGAUAAACAGCUGCCCUGGACACGGAUUUAACCUGUGCCUCCAUGGACAGCUGUGAGUCCAAAAUGACUCCCAGGCUGCGCACCUGGUCCUUCAGGGGCACAGUUACCCCAUUCAGGACCAGGGAAUCCUCCACACCUGCCCGCCUCCUGUCCCCCAGAAACAGUACUUCUGUCUUGUCAGGAUUCAAUCUCAAUCUGUUAGCCACCAUCCAUCCUCCAACCGCCUCCAGACACUCACACAGGACCGUCACCGCCUUCACCGGUUCUGAUUUGAAAGAGAGGUAGAGUUGUGUAUCAUCCGCAUACUGAUGAACACCCAGCCCAAACCCCCUGAUGAUCUCUCCCAGCGGCUGCAUGUAGAUGUUGAAAAGCAUGGGAGAGAGGACAGAACCCUGAGGCACCCCACAAGUGAGAGCCCAGGGGUCUGAACACUCAUCCCCCCCCCACCACUUUCUGAACACGGCCCAAAAGGAAGGAGCGGAACCACUGUAUGACAGUGCCCCCAGCUCCCAGCUCCUCAAGACGGUCCAGAAGGAUGUUAUGGUCGAUGGUAUCAAACGCCGCUGAGAGAUCCAGCAGAACUAGGAAACAGCUCUCACCUUUGUCCCUAGCCCGCCGGAGAUCAUCAACCAGUGCGACCAAGGCAGUUUCAGUCCCGUGAUGAGGCCUGAAUCCCGACUGGAAGGGAUCCAAAUGGUCCGCUUCUUCCAGGCGUGCCUGGAGUUGUUCAGCAACCACUCACUCAAUCACCUUGCCCAAGAAUGGAAGAUUUGAGACUGGGCGAUAGUUGGCCAUCGUGGCCGCAUCUAAAGAUGGUUUUUAAGAAGCGGUUUAAUAACCGCCUCUUUCAGCGGGUCUGGGAAGGCUCCCUCACGGAGGGAAGCAUUCACCACCCCACGAAGCCCAUCGCCCAGCCCUUCCCGGCUAGCUUUUAUAAGCCAGGAUGGGCAAGGAUCAAGGAGACAGGUGGUUGGUUUCACUCGUCCAAGCAGCCUGUCCACAUCCUCGGAGGUAACAGAUUGGAAUUGAUCCCACGCAAUUUGACUAGACAGGACUCUAGCACUCUCCCGCCUCGGCCCUGCUCCCACGGUGGCGUCUACCUCUUCCCGAAUCUGAGCGACUUUAUCUGCAAAAAACUUUGCAAAAUCAUUGCAGGAGAUCAUGUGGCCCGUACUGGGCCCCGAUGUAGCAGGUGGUUCCGCUAAAUUGUGAACCACCUGAAAAAGUCUCCUGCUGCUGUUUUCUGCAGAUGCAAUAGAGGCGACGAAGAAAGUCUUCUUCGCUGUCGCUAUCGCCACUUGGUAGGCUCGACAUUGAGCUCUAACCUGUGUCCGGUCAGCUUCAGAAUGGGUCAUCCGCCACCGGCGCUCUAGCCGUCUCAACGAUUGUUUCAUUGCCCUCAGAUCCGUGGAAAACCACGGGGCUGUCCGGGCUCCAUGCAAUCGGAGAGGGCGCUCGGAGCCAAACAGUCAAUAGCCCUGGUUAACUCCACAUUCCAGCGGGCCACCAGGGAAUCAGCUGAAAGGCCAUCAACAUGGGAUAAAGCAUCCCCUACCACUCUCUGGAAACCAUUUGGAUCCAUUAAGUGGCGGGGGGCGGACCAUCCGAAUCGGUCCCACCUCCCUGCAGAGGGGAAGGGUCACGGAGAAGUCAAGUUGCACCAGGAAGUGAUCUGACCAUGGCACUUCUUUCGUUUUGCUUUUACUUAGUGUCAGAUCACCAACAUCCAUGGAGGUAAACACCAGGUCCAAGGCAUGUCCGCGGCUAUGGGUUGGGCCAAACCUAUUCAGGGACAGCCCCAUGGAGGCCAUGCUUUCCACGAAGUCCCGAGCAGCCCCUUGUAAGGUCGUGUCGGCAUGGAUAUUAAAAUCCCCUAGGACAACCAAACUAGGUGUCUCCAGGAGAACAUCCGCCAUGACCUGAAGCAGCUUGGGCACGGAAUCCUUGGUGCAGUGGGGAGGUCGGUACACCAAAAGGAAUCCUGUACUGCCCCUAUUGCCCAACUUCCAGAACAUGCACUCAGAGAACUGGGUCUUCCCAAUAGGAUGCCUGGUGCAAACUAAUGACUUCCUAAAAAUCACUGCAACCCCCCCCCUCCCCGCCCACAAGGCCUGGGUUGCUGUGUGUAAGAGAAACCUGGUGGACAAGCAAUGGCAAGAACAGGCCCAUCUGCUUCAUCCAACCAAGUCUCUGUUACACAUGCCAGGUCAAAUCCUCCAUCCAUGAUCAAGUCAUGGAUGGCAGUGGUCUUAUGAAUCAUUGACCUGGCAUUGCACAGCAGCACCUUCAGGUCAUCCCUUGCUGAUUCUAGUAUCCGUCCGGUCAGGACCAGACCCGGAGGCAGGGAUAGUCCUCAGACAACAACUAAACCUGCCUUCUCUGUAAUGACAUGGUCUGGUCUUAGCUUAACUCCUCCUCCUACCCGUGAUCACUGAGAUCGGUUGUCCCAGCGCAUCCCCCCAGCCAUUUUGUUGGCUGGGACCCACUCCCCGGCAGCCCUGACCCCUCCCCUUAAGAACAAAAUAAGACCUUAAAACAAUAAUAACAAAACAAAAGACAAAAAAACCCCAGAAAAUAAAAAAACUAUAAAAAUUACAAAUCCAUCAAAAUCAAACAAAUUCCCAACUAAACAUCCAUCCCACCCCCAUCCCCGUCCCCGCAUAUACCAAAAAAAUAAAAUAAAAAGGAAAAGGAAAAAUUUAAAACAUUUUUAAAAGAACUCUGCGCCCCUCCGGAUCCUCCUGGGCCACAGCAGCAGUGACAGCAACCGUCCCUGUGAGGCCUGUCAGGCCCCGCCCUGGGCCAGGUGGUGAGUGCCAGGAGCAGGGCCCUCAGGCACUCACACAGGGGAGUCCUCCUGGGCAGCAGAGCACAGCAGUCCCUGUGAGGCUUCAGGCCCCGCCCUUGGCCAGGUGGUAAGCGGCAAGAGCAGGGCCCUCAGACACUCACACAGGAGAGUCCUCCUGGGCAGCGGAGCACAGCAGUCCUUAUGAGGCUUCAGGCCCCGCCCCGGGCCAGGUGGUAAGCGGGAAGAGCAGGGCCCUCAGACACUCCCACAGGAGAGUCCUCCUGGGCAGCAGAGCGCAGCAGUCCUUGUGAGGCUUCAGGCCCCGCCCUGGGCCAGGUGGUAAGUGGCAGGAAGGAGCAGGGCCCUCAGACACUCACACAGGAGAGUCCUCCUGGGCAGCAGAGCGCAGCAGUCCCUGCGAGGCUUCAGGCCCCGCCCUGGGCCAGGUAGGUGGUAAGCGGCAAGAGCAGGGCCCUCAGACACUCACACAGGAGAGUCCAUUCACAGAACAUUCUGUUUCUCAAUCACCACUCCUCCUGAAAGGUGGCAGGUGGCACAGAGAGCAGGCAAUUCUUCACUGAACACUUCCACGUGAUUUGAUUAGGAAUCUGGGUACCACCUCUUGUGUUCAUUCCCAUUCCCAGACAGCAACGAGGUAACUGCCUUUUUUUAUUUUUGAAGUGGUGUUGGAUUGUAACUCCCAUCAGCCGCAACCAGCGUGGCCAAUGGUCAGGGAUGAUGAGAGCUGUAUGCCUACAACAUCUGGCUACAUUUGCUCUCAGUCAAAGGCAUGGAUUAACAGUGCAAAUUGACACACACAGAGACCAUGCAUCUGAGGGACAUUAGUUUCUGGGUGAACCAUAGUUAUGGCUCUCGAAGUGUGAAACGAGUCUCUCUUUGAAAUAUUGAGAGGUGCUAGAAGAAGGUACAAAUGUUGUUCCUGACCUUUUUCUCUCAGAAAACUAUUCCAAAUAUUGCAGUGCUGCCCAGUGCUGCUGUGUGUCUGGGUUCUCACUGAAGUAGUCAACCUGUUUCAGGUGUAUACCACUUCAAAUUCAGUGGGUGGGAAUGUCAUGUGAUAAAAUGCUUCUCCAUACAAAAUGCCCCUGCACCAAAUAAAACCAAUGUUAGAGAGAAGGGCUCUAGACUAGUUUGACAUUCUAGUUUUCCAUGUGGAAGUAUCUUUAUGCUAUCAUUUAUGUGGAGGAACAUAAUCCCUGACCUGCAAUUUGAAGCAGUUCAAGCCCACUAGACUAAGAGACCUUUUGUUUUUCUGAGACACUUCACUUGUUUCAUUCAUUCACAUUCAUAUUGGAACAUGCUGAUUAACUAUUGUGAAGCCCUGAUUCUAUGUAUUUGGAUCUGAUUGUCCCCGAGUAUGAGCAGAAUAUAACAACUGAGAUGUCAUUCUUUUCUAAGUUCUUGAUCUUGGUGAAGCUUGAGGAAAUUUUGCUUCUCUUCCCUUGAGGAAGAGGAAAUGAUCAAGUUUGAGAAGAAAGUUUGAGAACACCGUAUCUGACAUAAUCAUUUCCAAAGUGAAGUUUGUGAGACUAUAACAUCAUAUUUCAGUUUGUGAGGAUCCAUUAACCGAUGGGGAAAUAAAAAUUACAACCCUUCCCCCAUGGGUUCUAUCCAAUAUAGCACCAAGCUGAAGUCACUUAGCAGAAAACUUGUUCCAGUGGCAAAAUGCUUUAUCAGUGGAACAUUGUUGUGCAAGAGCACUUAUAGGCAGGUCGUUGUGACUUUGUUGCACAACAGAGUGCACCAUCUGUUAUGCCACAGAUGUCUGCUAGCACAGCUUUUGCACCAGAUUCUUCUGUUGUGUAAUGUUAAAAUUCACCCAUCUGCUAGCAUGAGAGCCCCUGUUCUGGGGUCAGAAAGCACUGGGUAUAGCCCCAUUACAUUUCUUGAUUUGAUGCACAGGCAGAAAAAUGGAGCAGGAGAGAGUGGGGGGGAAUGAUUCUGUCAAUUAUCACACACGGUAGACUGCGGUCCAAUUUUGAAAGCACACUUUUGAUGGUUGGUGAUCUCAGCUGGAAAGGUUGCAAGUAGCUUUGGAUUAAAUUCUCUUAUGAGCAUGCAUCUCUGUGAUGUAUGAUUACAAUGUAUUUUUAAUUAAGGUUAUCACAAUGGGAUCUUAGCAGACGUGGCUACAUUUUAUAUCCCAGAAUCAUUGCAAGAAAUCGUAUUAAGCUGCAGCACAGCAAGCCAAGCAGUCUCGUUUGCUGAGCGAAAUGUCAUCCAAAGUCACCACCUCUGGUUUAUUUUCUAUUACCUUAUCUCUCCCACCAUGUUUUCCCACUGCCACCUUCUUAAGCAGGAAGUAAUGUUGCUGCACAGAUAGUGCCAACUAUUGUUUAUCUACCUUCAGCCGGUAGAGAAUCCAAACACAUACGGCAAGUGAGCAAAUUUUAACAAUAUUUUUAAUUGUUGCACAAUUCACUCACUACAUCCUACAAUAUGCAGUUACAUAGCUGCUAUUGUAGUGCUUCAGAUAAUGCUCUUUGCAAUGAGUUGUCUUUCCUUUCAUAACCACAGCUUCAAAGUUGGCCUGUGCUUCAUGCCAGAGGAGUGCUGGCAUCUGAGAUAUUGCUCAGUCUCCCUGUGUAGUGAUUGCUGCAAUGAUUGCUGUAAUGUAGAGGCACUUUCUUACAGCAAACAAAGGGAUGAGAGUUGAGAGGUGAUUCUUGGGGGUUUGUGUAGCGGAGCUGAGAGAGGAGAUUCAAUAGAAUCUCUUGGAAAGCCAUAUAUUUGGCAAUACAGUGGUACCUCGGGUUACAGACGCUUCAGGUUACAGACUCUGCUAACCCAGAAAUAGUACCUCGGGUUAAAAACUUUGCUUCAGGAUGAGAACAGAAAUUGUGCAGUGGCGGCACGGCAGCGGCAGGAGGCCUCAUUAGCUAAAGUGGUACCUCAGGUUAAGAACAGUUUCAGGUUAAGAACGGAUCUCCAGAACAAAUUAAGUUCUUAACCCGAGGUACCACUGUAAAAUGUUAUAUUAAUUUGUUCAGUGUGACCUUUAUGUUAGCAAACCUCCAAGUUAGUACAUUCUGCAUGUUCAUCUGGGUGCAGAAAUUUUAUGAGAUCAUCUGCUUUCUGUUGGAGAGACACGUUUGGAAGAGAGAUUCCUACUCUCCAAUGGCAAUUCAUCCAAGCACAUCAAAAUUUGUUUAGAUUUUACAUCUGCCCUCAUCCACCUUAAACAAAUAUUCUCCAUGGAAAUUCUCAGGCUAGAAUAAAUCACAGACAUUUAGCUUUCCGAAUAAGUGAAUUUUUCCAGAAGUUACAGCAAACGAGUCUCCAUCUGCUGGCAGUAAAACAAAUAUGAAAAAAGGUUCCAAACAACUUAAAAAGAAGUAACUUGGUUUCCUUACAAGAAGGAUCAUGCAAUCUUUGGGUUAGCAUAUAUGCAAGCUAUAAAAUCUCUUUUAGAGAGAUUCAGUUCACUUGCAGGGAGCCAUGGCUGCAUGGCUUCUUGCUUGUUUGUUCUAGGAAGCAUGAAGGUUGGGAAAGGGUUGAGGGCAGAGGCUGUGGAGAGCCUGCAAAGCUGAACUUCAAUUUCCAUCAGUCCCAGGAAGCAUGAUUCAAUGGCCAGGGAUAAUGGGAGCUCUGAAAUGAAUUAAGUUCUUAACCAGAGGUACCACUGUAUGUAUACUAGGACAAAUGUGCACCGAAAUCCCAGUUUUCAAUGGGUCUUUUUGUUUUUUGUUUAAAUGCAAACUGACGUGGAAAUGUGGCAAGCUGAACUUUAGACUGGAAAAAUGAGAAGCUGAGAGAAACUGAAACUGACAGACUGAUUGAUUGAUUGAUUGAUUGAUUGAUUGAUUGAUUCAUCCAUCCCUACUUUUGAGGAGACAUGUCUAGAAUUGCACUGUUUCAGAGUACCAAAAAUCGCUGGGGUGGAUCUUGACCCAGUUAAUACUUGCUGUUUAAGGGUGAAAUAAGUCCUUUAUCACCCCACAACUCAAAGCAAAAUGUGAGACUUCCCAUUUGCCAUGCCUUUUAGCCACUGAGUGAGCUUUCCAGUAUUACAGCCCUGCUUCUGAGAGCCACGUGGGUUGCAGGGUGGAAGGUGAAAACUUCUAUUUCUCAAACUCAGCUCUACCAAACCACCCAUAAAACUGUUCUUAUAAAACCAUUGCACGGGAGUGCUUCUACAAAGGGAGGGAGAGAAUCGUUAUAAGAAGUCUCAGCUUUACAGUGCUGCAUUAUCUGCAUAAAGCUGUAUCAGACAUGGGCUUAAUGUAAUAAUAUGCUCUGCAAGAUAGAUUAAUUUCUCCAUCUAGGUGUUUUUGAAGUAUUCACGGCUGCCUGACACCAAAAAUCGGUUCUGAAGGAGAAAGGUGGCAUGUGGGGCAGCAUUAUCUGUUCCACCUCAAAUGAUCUGAAUACUCAAGUCAAUUUCUAGAAGAAUUGACCUAUUUGAGCUUUUAUUUGGCUGGCAUAUCAUUGCCCCUGAAUUGUUUGGUUUCAUUUUGCAUAAUGCAUAUCUGUUUUGUUCUUCUUCUUUUUUAAAAAAAACAAAUGGUGCCUCAAAGUUAUUGACAGUCAGGGUUUAUUCCUGUCGUGACUUUCUUCCUGAACCAGGUGAGUUAACUGCGAACAUAGGAAGCUGCCUUCUUAUGGGGUCUGACCAUUGUAACUCGUACUUGUUACUCCUGGAAUCAUAGAAUUGUAGAGUUGAAAGGGACCUGAGGGUCAUCUAGUCCAACCCCCUGCAAUGAAGGAAUGGUUAGUAGCACUUCUCCAAGGUUGUCCAAAUGCAAAUCUUGAAGUUUGCUUGCCUGCUUUUCCCCCCAAAAGAUAGUUUGAAUCUGCUUCCCGAGACUCUUAAACUCAGAUUCUGGCCAGGCACUUUCUGCAUGGGAAGCUUGGUCUCUCCACCUUUGUGCCAUUGGAGCUCCCCUACUGCCAGAGGCUUCUGUAAUAAAUGAACUCUGGAAGCCAUCCUCAACCCAUUUUGAACUUGGGAGAGUUCAUUAUUCUUCUGAGCCUGCUGUCAGUCCAUUACUCCUCAAAGCUGCAUUGGGGGGUGGGGGGACAACACGAGCCAGUACAAAACAACAGCAACAACAGAUGCUUAGAGCUAUCACUUGAUUAAAGAACUCUUAGUCAAUCAAGUGUAUGAGUUCACAGUGAAAUUAUAUGUGCACAGUUCCUUGGGAGUAAGUGGCAUGACUUAACCCAAUGGGACUUCUAGAUAAACAUGCCAAGUCAGUGACUCGGUUAGUUAUAUUUGCAUAUAUUGGCACAUACCAAAACAAUAGUCCUGAAGCAAAAAGCAUCCUUUGUGUUUAGUUUUUUGUUUGUUUGUUUGUUUGCUACCUUUCUAUGCCCCCUUUCCUCCAAGGAGCUCAAACUGGUGUACAUAGUUCUCUCCACAACUCCCCCUCCAUUUUUAUUCUCACAACUAGGGUUUUUUUUCCAGUCGGAGCUCACCAGGACACAAUGCCUGGCUAAGAGACAAUGCCUGGCUAAGCUAACCCAGUGAGCUCCAUGGCUCAGUGGUAAACCCUGGUCUCCCAGGUCCUAAUAUGUAUGCUGGAACAGGCAUCAUCUUCCAAAUGGCAUUUCCUUUCAUGUAAGGGAGGAGAAGAAGGUUUAUUUUAAGAUGGUCCUUGAUGCCUGCACUUUUUCCUAGUACUUAUUAGUAGCCCCCUGUAAUGGCAUAUGCCAAUCUGAUUUUUUUCCUGUAGUUUAUUACUGCAGAUCAGUCAAGUUGGCAUAACUUGAUAUAAAAUACGCCCCUCAAUGAACUGUUUUCACCCUGGUACAAUUCCUUAUCUCAAACGAGUCCAGGAAGGCAUUGGUAAAUAUUCUGAGCUCUUAAUACUUAAUGUAAAGAUCAGCACACUAAUCCUAGGUUAUCAGUAAACUUAAUUUUCACCUCCUGCUGAGGUUCUGCAGAGACAAUAGUAUCUUCCUCUUAAAAAACAACAACCCCAGGAUUCAGGAAACAUACAGUCAACCAGUUUUGUCAUUUCUUAGCAGGGCCAUGUCCUUUCUGCUGUCAGCUAGGAAAGGUAAAGAAAAAAGCAGAUGGGAACUUGUAGGAAAUAAACAAUAAAAAAGGAAUACAGUGGUAGCUCAGGUUAAGUACUUAAUUCGUUCUGGAGGUCCAUUCUUAACCUGAAACUGUUCUUAACCUGAAGCACCACUUUAGCUAAUGGGGCCUCCUGCUGCCGCUGCACUGCCGGAGCACGAUUUCUGUUCUCAUCCUGAAGCAAUGCUCUUAACCUGAAGCACUAUUUUUGGGUUAGCGGAAUCUGUAACCUGAAGCGUAUGUAACCUGAGGUACCACUGUAAAGGUAUUAUGAGAAAUCACCUGUCUAAAAAAGCCCCCCUCCCCUUUUCAUUAGAAUACAUUGACUUAAAAUAGUACAAGAACUCCAAUUUUCCAGUGGCUGGGUAGCUCUCAAAGCUCCACUGAAACCCCCUCUUUGCACCUCAGUAAUCUCACGAACCAACACUUCACUGGGCCACAGACCAAGGAAUGGCUGAGAGAGAAGCUGUAGCCUUGCUGGUACAGGUGACUGAUGAGGAGAGCAUAACUCUCAAAGGAAAGGUGCAGCAGGAUGGUGCUUAUGUAAGAAAGGGCAUUUGUGAGGUCAGAACUAGUGACAUGUCACAGAUCUGGCCCUUGAGCAACUUAGCAGGUGAGGUGGAAUCCUCUCCCCACGUUUGCCACCCCUGCUUUAGGGGUUCACCAGAUCUCAAACAUCUUCUAGGAAGACCUCUAGAUUUUGUUUUGAGAUGGCGUUUGUCCAGUACUGAAAUUCUACCCUCAUCGCUGAAGCUAAAGCAGCUGCUUCAGUAACAGUCCCUGUACUACAGGAUCAACAAAAUGUUUGCAAGGCUGAUAUUAGGUCACCUUUCCAGUAUAGACUGAAUACUGUACCAGCAUAAGAUUAAGAAAUGGUGGAAGCAGCUAGAUUCUGUUACACUGAAACCAGCAGCUAAGUGACAUUCAGCAAGAGAUUGGAUUGCAUUUUAAUAAGCUACAAACAGCCGAUAGAUUUGAUCCCGUGGAAAAUAACUCUUGAAGAUUUUCCACUUUGAUCAUGGAAAGAGAGAAUCAGCAAGAAUGUCAGUAAAUGGAAAACCACUCUACAUACUCAGAAAGAACUCCUUGACCUGUGAUGUAACUUAACAGCUCUCUUGCAGAAAGGUAGAAUAGUUUGGGAAAGCCACGUAGGUUUUAAUAUGAUGUCAAAACACUGCAAUGGAGGGGAAAUAGCAAGGAAAGUGUGGAAAGUUCUUCCGCAUGAGUCCCAUUAAAAUGAAUGGGAGCUACAAAGGAGCAUACAGUAGUAAGUGCUGUUAUUUCCUCAAGAUUUGUCUUGCAGAAGAACUGCUUGUAUUUGGUUACAAUUAGAACACGUCCACACCACGGAUGUAAACUGGUUCCAUAAUACUUCCCUUUCCAGUGCAGAAACCUGGGAGCUAUAACUUUGCACAGAAGGCUAGAGAUCUCUAACAGGGCAGCCCCACCAAGCUACAGUUUUCAGGGGUUCGGGUUGGGGGGAAUCUUAUACCACAGAGUGGUGUAAAAUCAACAUGACUUCAUAGUGUAAAUCUGUUUUUACCUACAGUUGUGUAAACAUACCUGAAGAUCGCUUUCCUGGAAGGUAGCACAUUCUUGGGGCAGUCUUCUUCAUGGUCGGUAUCCUUGUGAGACUGCUGUGAAUCAGGUGGUUGACCUGGUCAGCUGAUCUUAGAACCCAUUUGGAUAGGCUUUGGGCAUGGUCAGAUGGUGAGAACUUAGGGCUGGGGCAGGAACUUAGGGUAGGGGUCCUGCCCUAACUGCUGAACUUAAGCCUUCAAGUAGUAUAGAAGAGAGAUGCAAUGCAGUAUCUGGCUCCCAUUCUGAUGAUGUAUGGAUGCUUGGGAAGCAGUUAAGGCUCGUCAUCAAGGAUUUCUCUGCAGCAAACCAGCUCAAGAGGACUGGAUACAUAUGGUGGCAUUUGUAGUAAAUUCUAUUUGCAGGUUCAGUAAGUGGGAAGCAAGCAUACCUGCAGAUAGUAUUUUUUGUUUAGUCAUGUCUGACUCUUCGUGACCCCAUGGACCAGAGCACGUCAGGCACUCCUGUCUUCCACUGCCUCCCACAGUUUGGUCACACUCAUGCUGGUAGCUUCAAAAACACUGUCCAACCAUCUCGUCCUCUGUCAUCCCCUUCUCCUUGUGCCCUCCAUCUUUCCCAACAUCAGGGUCUUUUCCAGGGAGUCUUCUCAUGAGGUGGCCAAAAUAUUGGAGUCUCAGCUUCAGGAUCUGUCCUUCCAGUGAGCACUCAGGGCUGAUUUCCUUCAGAAUGGAUAGGUUUGAUCUUCUUGCAGUCCAUGGGACUCUCAAGAGUCUCCUCCAGCACCAUAAUUCAAAAGCAGAUAGUAUUAGCACCUGCCUAAAUUAGCAUCAGCUAAUCAGCUUCAAUCCUACCCCCUACAAACAGAACAAAACAGCAACACCCUGAGAAGUCAUUUUGCCAGCCAGCUGUAGAUGUUUAAAUGUCUUUCUUUUUUAAUGGCCAAAUUAAAAUAAAAACCUCUCUCCCCAAUCCCCACUGUGACACACAAACUUCCAGGCAGCAGCCUUGUUUAAAAUCAAUUGUUAGAUUGCUGUGCAGGUCAUACCCAGCCACUCUUGAGUUGGUUGGCAUCCAUCUGUCUUGGGAAACAAUGGAGGAGUGCACAUUUAGAGGUGAAGUCGAACCGUUGGAAGGUUGAUGUGUUUGCUGUGGCUGUAGAGACAGAUACAGGAAAGAUAUGUUUUGUUGCAGCUGGGGCAGGUGAAGGUGUUUGGUUGUGCUAAUGCAGAUGCACUAUGUUAACAUUCAUUGCUAGUGUCCAGACUGCCAAAAAGCACAACACUGGUUCAUGCCAUUAAAAGUAGUUCACUAGAUUGAGGGAAAAGGUAGCUCUUUCAAAAUCACUCAACAGUUUCAGAAUGUAAACAUAGCAAAGUCUGUAAUCCAUCUAUUUACAGACUAGCUGAUGCCUUUAUGGGCUACCCAUAAAGUAUCCAAUAGGAAUCAAGCCAUACCCAAUGAAUCAGGUCAUAAACCAGCAAGGGAUAUUUAUUUAUUAAUUGGGAAGUAUAACCUGCCCCAAACCAAAGGCAGAAAACAGUAGCUCAAAACCUCUCCAGAGAACAGAAUGAAAUUUAACCAAGGUUGAAAUCCCCAUUCGGCCACUGAGUGACCACUGUCUCUGAGUCCACCUCGCAGGGUUGUUUUAAGGAGGAAACUGGAUUGGAGAGAACCAUGUAUGCCACAUUAACCUCCUUGGAGGGAAAGUGGGAUGGAAAUAUAAUAAAUAAGUAGCAAUACAUAAAAUCCAUUGGCAUUUCUCCUCUUUUUCCCAACAUAACCCUGAGGCUCCAGACAUUAGCCAAAGCAAGUGCAUCUGAGAGGUGUGCAGCAGUGAAUUGCAGAAGUGGAUUCCAGAGACCACAGGCUUGAACAAUUUCAAGAGUCCAAGGGGAGACAGUGGCCAAGGUGCUUAUUGAGAGGGCCGGGCACACGGGGCCAAAGCAGAUGCAACCCCACCCAGUUAGGAACCCCCAUCCCGUCCCCAGCAUAUUUGUUCCAAAUGCAUUGCUACUUGUAUUGUUGUUGUUGUUCUUUAAAUUGUCAUGAGCCACGUUAUAAGCCAAUUUAUGAUUGGCAAGCUGGAUAAAGAUACGCAAAGAAAUUAGACCUUGGAGUAUUUCAGUGCCAGAGCUUCCCCAUCUGCACUGGCUCAGUACACCAGCAGCUUCACUCUGUUACAAAACCUCGGGCAAGGCUGGGUGCCUGGGACUGUCAAGUCUGAUUAGCAGACAUCAUAAACAAUUAUUUGCUGUCUAUUGCUGCUGCCACUAUAGUCGGAAGUGGAAAUGUACAGAAUGAACGCUAAGCUUGCUCAGGAGUCUUUGGUGAAGUACUUCAUCAAACGCUUUGUGGAAGUCCAAGGCUCAGAGUGUUGCACGUCUUUUAGCAUUUGACAUUGCACAGCUCACCUAAACACCAAUAUCAACAUGAUUUGGGUCCACACCACACAUUUAAAGUGUGUUGCUUCCUGCAAAAAACACUGAGAAUGUAGUUUGUAUGGGGGGGCUGGGAAUCAUAGCCCUGCGUAGCUCCCAGGAUUCUCCAGAGGAAGUAAUGUGCUUUAAAUGUAUGGUACACAUAUGACAUUACAGUCAUACCUUAGGUUACAGAUGCUUCGGGUUGUGCGAUUUCGAGUUGCGCACCGUGCCGAACCCAGAAGUACCGGAACGGGUUACUUCCGGGUUUCGGCGCUUGCACAUACGCAGAAGCGCUAAAUUGCGCUUUGUGCAUGCACAGAAGCGCCAAAUCGCGACCCGCACGUGCGCAGACGUGGCGCUGCGGGUUGCGAAUGCUGUGGGUUGCGAACGUGCUUCCCACAUGGAUCACGUUUGCAACCCGAGCAUCCACUUUAAUCAGCAACACGCUCUGAAUUCCUAGUCUCCUCCUUGCCUUGCAUUAGAUCCCUGGCCUGCUGUUGUCCUUUUUUACCCCCCAACCCAAGACAGGAGAUAAUAUCAGUCUGUUCUAGAGAUUUAUGCUGAGUGGGAUUGUGUUAAAUAAUUUUUUUAAAAAAAUCUUUUGGAGUUCUGAACAAGUUUUAGAUGCCAAGUUUCUUUAAACUGCCAUCAAUUACUAUUAAGAUAUAUUUUUCCCAUGAAGUUCCUUUUUAUAUAGAACUGUGUUUAAUUAUUUAAAAUGAAGAUUAAAAAUGCCCUUUUGCAUGAUUUUAAAGACAACUGUUGGGGUUUCUCAGUUUGUAGAGCAUGAGACAGGUGGGUUUGAGCCCCACAUUGGACAAAAGAUUCCUGCAUUGGACUAGGUGACCCCUGUGGUCUCUUCCAGCUCUACAAUUCCAUGAUUCUAAAGUGCCCCUUUGAGUUCAUUUCCCUGCCACGAAAACUCAUUUAAAAAAGACCUGGGGCAACAUGUGCAAUUUGUCAGCAUUAGCAGUCAAGGGGAGGGAAGAAUGAAUGGAAGAGGUAGCCUUGGGUCAACAGAUCCUUGGAUUACAUGGAUGUUUGGGACUGGCAGGAUGAGGAUGGGAGAAAUUGUGUUGGCAGGUGGUGGGAUUUUAGAAAGGAUUCAGGGGACAAGUGGAAAGCUGGUUAUGGGAUUUGGGUGGGGCGAAGACAAGCUGGUAAGGCGGGCAGCUGGUGAAGGGGCAGCAGCAAUGCUGGUAAAGGGGGUUUGGCAUGUAAACUGUGAAAGGCUGGCACACUGGAAAGGGGAUUGGAUGGUGAGGUGUUUUGAAGGUGGUUGAUGGGCGCAGGAGUGUCAUGACCCUGGGGUGAUCAGCUUGAUAGCUCAGUUGGUUACAGCAUGGUGCUGAUAAUGCCAAGGUUGCAGGUUCGAUCCCCAUAUGGGACAGUUGCAUAUUCCUGCAUUGCAGAGGUUUGGACUAAGGUGGUCCUCAGGGUCCCUUCCAACUCUACAAUUCUAUGAUUCUAUUCCUCAUCUUCAAGGAACAAGGCUGUAGAUUUGUAUGAAGUAUCAGAUGAACAAAUACAAUGAAUAAUAACGAUGCUGAUGCCUGAUUGAGGUUGGUUUGGUGGAAUUGACAUUUUUGCCAAUCAAAUACACUUCCCUGCCUACUGGGAAUGUGACUCUCUGAUCUGCAGUUUAUUAUUCAUAGAGUGCUUCCUUGCAGUGAUUUUCCUUCAAAAACUGGCAGUCCACAGGGUCACCACACUAUUGCAGCAUACUCUCCAUCAUGGUCUCAUUCAAGAGAAUUUUCCUAAUAUAUAUCUUGGGGGUGGUGGGAUUGUUUUAUUUAGAUUUUUAAAAGCAGAAUCCAGCAAAAGACAUACAUUUCCUCCAUGGGUGCAGGCUUCCUACACUCCAAUUCCUACCUCCAUUUCUCGCCUCAGUUUACUUCUUGCCAAAUAUCCCACACACACCAAUUUGAUGUUAUUAUAUAAACAACCCCCCUUCACAUUAAAGUAAUGGUAGACUUGCAGAUAAGCAGUCAACGUUAAAUUUAACCAUGCAGCAAUAAACAAUGACUAAAUUAAAGUGCGAGAGUAAAACCCAAUUGCAUUUCACAAGAAUUCAGGCAGUUAUAAUCAACUAGGAAACAACCUUCGAAGAAAAUAAAAUGAACAAGAUGCUUUCCAGAAAACAAACCUCUUAACGUCUCGUCCAGCGGACCUCCCCCAACUGCAAUUUGCUCAAAUAAAUGUGUGUGAGAUAAUAAAGGUAAACACAGAAAACACUGUUGUAAACACAACUUUAGGGUCAUUGCUGCACACACAUCCCCAGCCAUCACAACAUCUCCUAGUAGCGAUGUGCAAACAAGCACUCUUUGUGUGUGGGAUGGGGGGGGGGACACAGGGUCACACCUGCCAGAUCUCUAACACACUUGCCAACUAUGCUGUACAAACUAUAUGUUCAGCAAGUCAUUCAAGGGAGGACAACUGGCCAGCCAGUUUUUGAUCCUAAAGCUCUUCCAGGCAGGGAUGUGUCUUUGUGUUGUAAUAACUAUUGCAAGCAUCAUUAACACCAAUGGCCCUAUGUAAAUAAAUAAUAAAUUUGCUCAGUUUUGCUACAUCAGCUGUCUCUCAAGUUCUGUUUUAGUCCUAUAUUUAAAACAUUAAAAAUCCAAACAUAUGAAUUGCCUAUGUCAUCUUAUGAAGGCAAACAUGGGCAUGGUCAGGAUUUAUGUCGGCGGGGCAGGAGAAAGGACACCCACCUGUCCUGUUCCAGAACCGAGCUACCUGUGACGCGAUUGGGCAGUUUGCAGAAGCCACGCCUACUGCUCAGUCAGGUUUCCAGUUGUGUCACUAGAAUGCGCCACAAUAUCAUUCAAGUGAACUCAGCGAGCAUUUCAAUUCCAAAUAUCCUGAUUAUUUCUAAUUUUAGUUAAGCAUUUUUAUGAUUGGGGGGCACCUGCCCCCUUGUCCCCCUGGCUAUGCCCAUAAAGGCAAACUUGACUUUCAAAACAAAUUCUAAUUAUCUGUAUCUGACCACUUAUCGGUUCAGUAUUUGAUUUGUCUGACCAGUGAGGUAGUGCAAUUAUAAAACAUUGGGUUCUGAAAUGCCAAUGAAUUCAAGGUUCUGCCAGGCCCAGCACACCAUUUUCUGCAAGUCUCCACCCACAAGCCACCAGGUUCUAUUCAGGCUCCGCCCCAACUUCCCAUGUGCCGCACUUGGCUCCACCUCCAAUCUGCCAGAUUCUCUAGGUGCCACAUUUGGUCACAGCAGGUUCAUCAGGCUCUGCCUGCUCAGGUUUCAAACAUCAUCACUUGUCCUGCACUACGGCAACUGUGAUUUCAGAAGUUACAGGAACUAUACAGAAUGAAAUUCUUAAGACAUGUGUUUUUUAAUGUUUAUGUCCUGCUAUGUGGGUUCAUAUUGGGAUAUACAAUCUUGUCUGCAAGUCACACCAAGUCACAAAGGCAAAAGUUUAGAGGACUUUCUGGAGAAGUUUAACAGGUCUCGCCGUCACUUGAAUGACAGAUGUACUCAAGGUCUUGGUGACAUUGGCAGUGGUACAGAGGCAAUGUUUUUCCUUCUCUCUCUCUCUCUCUCUCUCUAUAUAUAUAUAUGUAAAAGGACAAAGUGUUCUGAACCAUUUUACUAACCUGUCAGGAAUACAGAUUAUUUCCUUUAAUACCUCUCAUCUAACCAACCCACUCCUUUUCACUACGGAACUAAUAAUUUUCAAAUCCUUAUUUAUAAUGGGGGAAUAAGGAAUGCUAUAAGGUGACUUCCAAAGGGCACAGAGACCACAGACAGCACAACCUGGGAUCCGUUCUGUCUUUGGCCAACCCUCUGGGGACCACAUGCUAUACGGUGCAUGUGGCAACCCCACUCUCCCCCCCCCACACUCUUGCAUGUGUGCAUGCACACGCACACACAGGUGGACAUUCACACAGGUACAUAGGCCCCUUCGCCAGCUGAUCCAUGACAUGAUGGAGGAUCCUAGAAUAGAUGGGUCUUUGGCCUGAUCCAGCAGGGCUUUUCUUAUAUUCUUACUUCAAAGCUGGGGCAGGGGGCUCUGCAGGGGAGAAGAAAACUAGUGGGGCAGCUAUAAAAAUGCUAGCACACAUUUGCAAAGCUAAGCAGGGUCUGGUGUUGUUUUGAAUUGGAUGGGGAACCGCAUGUUGAGAUUCCUGCAUUGCAGGAGGUUGGACCAGAUGGCCGUAGGGGGGAGUCAUUUCCAAUGCUAUGAUUCUAUGAAAACCCUCUACCAAUGCAGAAAAAUAUGAAGGGUCAAAAUCCCUCCCCAAGCUGUAGCGGUAUUGUGGUGCAGUAUUCACACUUUCCCAAGCCCUCAUGAGAGCCCAGGGCAGUAGAGGCAGGUCUGUAGGUACUGAGACCAUUAUCUGAGCCUUGGCAUCAAGGAGAACAUCAUGGCACCAGGGAAUUGGAGGGAGGACAACUCACUCUCAACAGAAGAGUUCCCUGCCUUCUUUUUCAUUACCUUCCCCAGAAACUGCUUUUGGACACCCCUUUCCCGCCUGCUCUCUUGCCUUGUGGUCAGGAAUGGAAAGUUGGAUUUGAAGCUCCAGUGUCGUACAGAAGCAGGAGAACAGGUUGACCAACCUAUUGUUUGGUUGGUGGAAGAAAGGUUGAGGGCAAAUAAGUAUGUUGUGUUUUCAUGCUUCUCCCUACCACUUCCUGGUUGGGGACUCCUCAGGAAUCCCUCUCUGUUUCUGUUUCCUCUUAUUUAUUAGGCAGUGUCUUAUCGUAGCCCUGCCAGUGUUGUGCUUGUUCAUGACUGUUGGCCAUGCUGCCCGAGGCUGAUGGAAGUUGUAGCUCAACAAUACAGUGGUACCUCGGGUUAAGAACUUAAUUCGUUCCGGAGGUCCGUUCUUAACCUGAAACUGUUCUUAACCUGAAGCACCACUUUAGCUAAUGGGGCCUCCUGCUACCGCUGCACCGCCACUGCACGAUUUCUGUUCUCAUCCUGAAGCAAAGUUCUUAACCUGAGGUGCUAUUUCUGGGUUAAUGGAGUCUAUAACCUGAAGCGUCUUUAACCUGAAGCAUAUGUAACCCAAGGUACCACUGUAUCUGGAGGGGACCAGGUUGGGGAAGACUAAUACCUGGUAGCUGGUACCUGUUAUACUUAUUGGUCUCUUGCUUGUUUUGGGGUCUCUCUCUGAGCUACAAUUCCUAGAGUAGUUUAACUAUCAAUAAUUCUCCACAGGGAACCCUGGGAACUGUAGCAUUGUGAGGGAAAUAGGGCUCUCCUAACAACACACAGCAACACACAGCAAAUUCCUAGGAAUUUCUGGGAAAAGCAAAGACUGCUUAAAGUGGAAUGAUCUUGCUUUAAAUGUAUAAUACAGAAGGGGCCUGGGAAUGCCUGUCCAUCUUUACUCUUAAACCGCAAGCCUGCGGUCAAUGAGUGUCCUCUUUUAAUCUCUUUGAGCUGCCGAGAUACCAUCUGCCUAGAUGCCUAGAUAGAACUGCAGUUUCUGAAGUGAUGAUUAACUUUCCCCAAAGGUUCAGACUUCCUAUUUUAUGGUACACAAUGAAAUACAGCUUGUCAGCUCCCAGGCUGAGAAAUAUGCAGCAAAUAAUACACAACCCUGCAAGUGAGAGAGGGCUUCAAUUCUUCAAACCAUUUGAAAGUGUAGGCAGCUAACUAUCCCCCCAUGAAUUCACAGGAACAGACUUAAAAGAGGUUUAGGGUGAUUUUCCUUCCACUACCGCGGAUCAGAAGUCAUUCAGAGACCAUUAAAGCCAGCCUUACCAGAAACAGCCAAUCUCUGGAUCUCAUAAAAAUGCAGCCUCUGAAAUGUGAUUUAGUGUGCUUUGGGAAUGAACUUUCCUUCACCCAAAUUUCCUAGAGUUGCAGGGACAUGGUACCAGCUGUUUUUCAUCUUCUCUAUUGAAGAACAGACAAAGCUCUGGUACUUGGGUACCAAUCAUCUUGGAGCAGGCUUAGUCAAUAUGUGCACUCCAAAUAAGCUUUGUGUGGGGCCCUGGGGCACAUUCUAAAAACACAUGAUGGCACAACCAUGCAAAAACCAAGCAGGUCUGGAUCUGUGCAGUUCUUCAGAUGGGCACUGAAGACCUUUCCCAGUUUGCAUCUGCCCUGGUUUUUUCAUUGUUUUAUCACUUGUUGGCCUCCCCUGAGUUCCUUUGGGAAGAAGGAUAGGACAUAGAUUUAGUAAAUAAAUACAUACAUACAUACAUACAUACAUACAUAAUCUUCCUACACCUGAAUAAUGUACAAAUAACUUUGGGAAUAUACUUUGAGCCCCUUUCUUGCAGGAGGAAUGUGCAGAUAUCUUGUUUUCAUUGUGGUGUCUGCUAGAACCAUUAGAUAUGUACCAAAGCCUUAAACCUCUGGCUUUCCCAACCAAAAGAUCAAUUGUCUACUUCCAGUAUGGGCAUCCACAGUUUUGUUUAAAAUAUAUAUACUAUAUAAAUGUGCAGUAUGUUUAAAUCUCCCCUUCCUUCCUCCUACAGUAUUAGAAAUAAUAAAUGGUUUGCCCCAAAAUUGCACAGGGUAUUUACCACAGAACCAGAAACAUAAUGUAGGUAAUGUUGAAAGUCAGUGCUUAUCCCUGUAUAGAUUUAAAUAUAUUUGGAUAGUUUCCCGUGUCUUGUUUGGCACUAUCAUAAUCUAUAGGGUUUUUAAGGCAGCAGAAAAUAGUAAGAAAACAAGCUUUCCGGCACAUAUGCUAGUAAAUCUGUCUAAAGAAAAAAGACCCAAGUGUUCAUCUCAUGUUUGAACUAGUACUACAUCACACUUAGAAUCAGACUGAAAAUGGGAAAGGAAAAGUGUGAGCUAGAUUUCUCCCACCACCUGCCCCAUUGCCAGCUUCAAAAGGUAUUGCCGGAAGCAUAGCAUGCCAGUUCACUUGUCUAUGAUUUGACUUCAGUCAUCCAACAUUUGCUAAACGUCAGUCAUCUAUCUUUUCUCUUUUUUUAACUUGGCUUCAUUCAUCUAUCCCUUGUUAGCUAUGAAGUCACCUGUCAGGGAGAGCUUUCCAGAUAAGGACUCUUGUCCCCUCUUUAAAAAUCUGGUUCACCCUAAUACUUCUGAUAGUUAAUAGUGAGCCAGCUGAACUCUAAAGGUAAAGGGACCCCUGACCAUUAGGUCCAGUCGUGACCGACUGGGGUUGCGGAGCUCAUCUCGCUUUACUGGCUGAGGGAGCCGGCGUACAGCUCCCUAGUCAUGUGGCCAGCAUGACUAAGCCGCUUCUGGCGAACCAGAACAGCGCACGGAAACGCUGUUUACCUUCCCGCCGGAGUGGUACCUAUUUAUCUACUUGCACUUUGACAUGCUUUCGAACUGCUAGGUGGGCAGGAGCAAGGACCGAGCAACGGGAGCUCACCCCGUCGCGGGGAUUCGAUCUGCCAACCUUCUGAUCGGCAAGUCCUAGGCUCUGUGGUUUAACCCACAGCGCCACCCGCGUCCCUAGCUGAACUGUAAAGUGCAUUAAAGCCAAACAGAAGACUAGGAAUGGGGAUUAAGCUUGAGGAUGUGCAUGAAGAUAUGUAUGUUGACAUUCAAAGAACUUAAAAGGCCCAUGUGGUCCAGCAUCCUAUUCUCACAAGGGUCAACUGGGUGCCCAUGAGAAGCCUGUAAUCAGGACCCGAGUUCAACAAGACUCUCCCCACUUGCGCCAGCAGCUGUUAAAUACAGUGGCACGUUUUCUUAAUUCUAAUAAUCAUAGCUUAUUUGGGUUGAAAAUGAAACCAGUUUUUUAUCCCUUGUUGAUUUACUGAUUUACUUGCUCUGAGACCUAAGGCUGAAGGCCACCUAAUAAAGGUUUCACAGUCCAUCCAUUGAUUAAGUUUGCCUACAAGAUUGCUUUACCCAAUGUGCCCACUCCACCGCUUCAAUCAGCAGAAUGGGCACUUUUACAGGUGCCACAUAAUACCUGCACCCCAUCUGUAAGAACUUGAUUGUUUAGUGUGACAGCACUGACACUUUGGAACUCCCUGCCUCUUGAUAUCAGACAAGCGCCUUCAUUGAAUUCUUUUCGGCACCUGCUGAAGACAUUCUUAUUUAGACAAGCCUACUCAGAUGUUUAGAAAUUUCAUAUGGGUUUCAGUUUCUUUUAGUCUAUUCUAUUGUGGUUUUAACUUUCUACGUAUUUUAAAUAAUGGUUGUAACUUUUUUUUAGUGAUAAUGUUAUUUUUUUAUCUUUGUUGUACUGUAAACCUCUUUGAGGUUUUCCCCCUACAAUCCAGCAGUAUGUACAUUUUAUGAAAUAAACAAAUAAGGAUGCAGAUAUACAUUUAAAUCUACAAACUGAAGCUAUUUUGCACUGAGUCAGGCUAUUAUAUGGUCCUUCACUGCAGAACUUAUUUUACAAGAUAGUAUAGGCUAUGGAUCAGACCACCAUUUAUCUUGUUCAGUAGUGCCUUUUCAACAGUGGUCCAGCCAGAGCAUGGUGUGGUAGUUUGUCCCUGUUGUUUGUCCUCAGCACCUGACAUUCAAAGGUAUACUGCUUCAACAUGGAGUAUCCAUUAUGUUCUGUGCAUCACGAGCCUAAAGGGUUUACAUGUGAUCAUACCCUAUAUGGGUGAGGAAAGACUGUCUGAGCAAAUUUCAGACAAAUCGCAUACAGCGAACAGCUGCCAGCAUGACAACAGGUGUGAAUUAAUGCAGGUGGGUCACAUUCCUACAAAGGGUGGAAUCAGACAAGCCAAAAGGUGACCUAGCCAAGAUAUCAACAUUUCUAGAAUCCAGCCAGCUGAUACUCUUAUUGGCAUUGCCAUGCUAUAGGCAAUGAGGUGCGUAAAAGGAUUAUCUGCUUAGGUGACAAGAAUUGACUUUGCCAAAAUAUGAGGAGACGCCCUGUACUGUGGAUUCAUUUUGUUAUGUCAUGUUUAUUUUGCUUUCCCUUCCUCCAGGAUCUAAUUAAGCCCAUUAUAAAAUCAACAAUGAGCGAAAAGGACAACUUCUUCCAUGUACCCAAAUGAAUAAGUGGGCCAGUGUGGGGAAAUUCCACAGAGUUGUUCAGCAGCUGCUCUUUGAGCUCAGACAGCAAAGAGGCUUAUGGUACCUUGCAGCUUACAAUGGCAUAAACUAGACUAGAGCCAACUUUGUCAGAUGCAUGAAGAAUCCUACAAUUGUAGAGUUGGAAAGGGUCCUGAGGAUCAUCUAGUCCAACCCCCUGCAGUGCAGGAAUAUGCAUCUGUACCAUAAGGGGAUAAAAUCUGCAACCUUGGCAUUAUCAGCACCACACUCUAACCAAGUGAGCUUUCCAGGCUCCAGCAGAGUUCUGCAAUGAGCACUGAUGGUUCAUAGCUUUGAAGCUGGGCUCACCCCUGUUCUGUAGGGACUGGCAUUUUGUAUUGGAGUGGGCUACAGAGAAAGAAAGCAAAACAUGGACAGGGAAGGAGGCAGGGUUUUGCAAGCUGGCAGGAGGAAGCAGCCUUAUUUUAUUAAAUAUUAUAUCUAUUUCACCCUUCAUUGUAUAAGUUCCCAGGACGGUUCAUGAUGACAGGAAAACAAUAAGGAAAACAAUGCAGUCUGCUAAAACCGCACCAGCAGCAACUGUUUAAAAAGCCUGGGUAAAUAUAAAGACAACAAAGGGUUGGCCCUGUGCUCUUGGCAAAACUAAAGCUGCUUUGCUACUGCUGCCUGCCUUGCUUCCCAUGCUCAGUCUGUUCAUCUGCAGAUAAACAGUUCUCUCUCUCUCUCUCUCUCUCUCUUACACACACACACACACACACACACACACACACACACACACCCCUACCUCUGCAAGUGUCUGGGUACCCUCUUUUCACAAGUGCAGUGGCUGUACUUCAGGAGUGGGGAACCUGUAGCUCUCCAGAUAAUGCCCUCCAGACUUCAACUCUCAUCAACCCCAGCCAGCACCUCAAAUGAUCAGGGAUGAAUGGAGUUUCAGUCUAGCAACAUCUGGGUGGCCACAGGUUUUCCAUCCCUGGUUUACCACUUGGGAAACGGGGAGCUUGUCACCGGCACACAAAACACAUAUUUAAUGGCAGUAUUGCCUUGUGCAAUAACUGCUUCAUUUAAUACCCUAUUGUCACUCAGUAGCUGGUCAGUUUCAGGCAUACCCAUUCCUCUAACUGCCGCGCGACAGACUGGCAUAUUGUUUCAGGCAAGCACUGGUCCAAGCCAGCUUUCACUGUCAAGACAUCUUUGGCUUUCUCUGAGUGCGAAAUUCCUGGUGUGCUUGUGCAGGACAUGUAAGCUGUUAAUUGCCUCAAGAGCAAGACUUUUUCCCUUGAAGGAGAAUUCAGGCUAAGGGAGGUUUUGCCUCCAUAUCCCUUUCCAUGCCACCCGAGAAACAGCUGUUAACUACCAGAUGCCUAAAGUGGAUGGCAAAACUAUGGGACGAGCAAGGGCUUUGCUAUGCGCAACUGUUCCCUCGCUGAAAUGCCAGAGAACUCUUGCAUUGCUUCCCAGUGACAGAGGGAAAGUGUGUGUUCCUGUGGAUGAUGUCCAAGUUCUUUAAUUGGACCACAAUUUAGAAGAGGUCAAGGAUACCCAGUUGCACGGCCUGAUGCCCCGGAGUCUAAGACAUCGGCGGACAUAAUAUUAAAAGGAGGCUCAGAAGGGCAUUUGUCAGAUGCACUGCCAAUCUGUCUUCAUGGCUGAACUGACAGACAAGCAUCCCAUCAAACGAAGCAGUGGCUCAACUUGUCAGUCUUGCUCUUUUUUUCACCUUCAUUGCUGCUACUUCCUUCUGCAAUAGGAGAACAUUAACAAAGCAGCCUGCAGUCAAGUGUGUAGGAUAGGAAACUUCCAGUCUCCAGCAACUACCUGCAGGAAGCCAUGUCAAUUUUCACCAACCAGAGCAGAGGGGAAGCAGCAAAGGUUGCGGCAGUAAAGGGGAUUGGGGGCACACAGGCCAAUCUAAUUUAGGCACGAAGGCUCAUUUGCAGUGCAGUCACAGUGGAGCGAGCUGUUUUAUUGUGUCAUAUCUGUCUUCUCCGACUCUUAUCAGCCCCAGCAAGCAUGGGAUGAUGUGAGUUGUAGUUAAACAAGAUCUGGAGGGGCCACAGGUUCCCUGCUCCUGGUUCUCUUGAAAUGGACAAGUAGUCAUUGCAGCUGAUACAUCAUUUUAGUAACAUGCUCAGUAUAAGAACCUAUCUUACACCAAAUCAGGUGACUGGCCCAUCUAUCUAUUAACUACCGUAUUUUUCGCUCUAUAAGACGCACCAGACCAUAAGACACACCUAGUUUUUGGAGGAGGAAAACAAGAAAAAAAAAAUCUGAAUCUCAGAAGCCAGAACAGGAAGAGGGAUCGCUGCGCAGUGAAAGCAGCAAUCCCUCUUGCUGUUCUGGCUUCUGGGAUAGCUGCGCAGCCGGCAUUCGCUCCAUAAGACGCACACACAUUUCUCCUUACUUUUUAGGAGGGAAAAAGUGAGUCUUAUAGAGCAAAAAAUACGGUAAAUUGACCGGCAACUGCUCUGCAGGGUUUCAGAAUGGGGACAUAGGCUUCAAUCAGCUAUGACUUGGGCUUCAGGUACUGGCCAAACAAUAAGCCUUAUGAAUCUGGUGCCAGAUUGGCUAAAAAGCUUGGCACCAUGACUUUCACAAUAGGUUUCCAUUCUGGCCUCCCUUGCAGCCCCUCAGUUUUUGAAAGUCUUGGCUUCUUUGAGUCACUUACAAUGCAGUACUGCUAGUUGGCUGCAAGCAAAACAGACUGCAUAUUCUGCUCCAAUGGCUUAAGAAACACCCCAAGGUUCUCCAGAUGUUGCCAGAUUACAACUCCCAUCAUCCCUGACCAUUGGCUGUGCUGGGGCUGAUGGCAGUUGUAGCCCAUCAGUGUCUAGAGUGCCACAGGUUCCCUAGUCUAAAUUGUCCUAUAGAGUAUUCUGGAAAGCACAGAUUGUGAGCAUCUCUCUCCCAGUCUAAAUUCUGAGUUCUACAGUCCAGGAACAGCUAUACCAAGCAAUAUGCUGUGUCUAACCCAUCUCCUGCUUUCAAGUAAACUAUGCUCAGGAUUGCAACAAGAGAUUAAGAGUCUCAUGCUCUACCAACUGAGCUAUCUGGGAACGCAUACUUGUUUUCCAGGAGGCGCUAACCUGGUGCCCACAGAAGCACAUGUCCCCACAGAGGCCUUCCCUGGUGCCUGCAGGCUCCUCCACCCCCUGCUGAAAUUAAGCUUGAAUAAAGCAUUCUGUUGUAAGCAAUAGACUACUGUGUCCUUGGUCACGAUUUGUGUGCCCACAGCAGUUUCUCAAUUUUGCAAAUGUGCCCACAAGCUCAAAGACAUUGGUGACCCCUUUGUUAGAAUGUCACUAGUAUAGGAAAGUACCAAAAUAUGUAAAGUACCAAAUAUUUAAAGGAAAUCUGCUUUUCCAGCCAAGCAUCUCCAUGGACUCAGCUAUACAGCUGCAAAUAAAACGUUUUAAGUGUGGUAUCUGAAGAAGUGUGCAUGUACACUAAAGCUUAUACCCAGAAUAAACUUAGUUGGUCUCUAAGGUGCUACUAUGGGACGCGGGCGGCGCUGUGGGUUAAACCACAGAGCCUAGGGCUUGCUGAUCAGAAGGUUGGUGGUUCGAAUCCCCGUGACAGGGUGAGCUCCCAUUGCUCAGUCCAUGCUCCUGCCAACCUAGCAGUUCAAAAGCACGUCAAAGUGCAAGUAGAUAAAUAGGUACCGCUCCAGCGGGAAGGUAAACGGUGUUUCCAUGCGCUGCCCUGGUUCGCUGGAAGCGGCUUAGUCAUGCUGGCCACAUGACCCGGAAGCUGUACACGCCGGCUCCCUCAGCCAGUAAAGCGAGAUGAGCGCCACAACCCCAGAGUCGUCCGUGACUGGACCUAACGGUCAGGGGUCCCUUUACCUUUAAGGUGCUACUGGACAAUUUUUUAAAGUUUUUAAUUUAUUUCGCUGCAAAUAAAACGUUUUAAGUGCAAUAUACAAUGUGACACUAGAUGGCGAUAGUGAGCCUUAUGGAAAAUUCAAUGUAUUUUUUAAAAGGCUUUUUAAAAAAGCAUUUUUGAAAUGGUUUUUAUAUGUGUGUGGAUUCCACCCAUAUGUUGCUUUUAUGUUAUUGAAAAUAGAGAGAGAGACGGGGAUAAAGCCAACAGUUCCACAUUACAGGUACUAUACAGUAUAUUACUUACAGCCAGGCUCUUAGAGAAGCCUCAGAGGAAAAUUCCAUUCAUCAAAAAUGGUGUUUUGUGAAAGUUACAUUUCCCCCUUUCUUCUAUUAGCACACAUUGCAUCUUGUGUGUUGUUGAGUCUGUAUUUUAUUCACUUUACUGACUUAGAACAACUUUUUCUGCAAAUCUACCCCAACAGACAAUUUAUCUAACCUGCACUUUCUCUCCCACCGCCACAGCUUUGAGUUCAGGAAAAACGAUUGCAAAAAUAUGGCGUAAUGCCUAGCUUCUCAUCAAAUUCCAAGGAAACUCUUUUUGCAUUGCACACUUCAAGGGAAGCUGCUGUUCUUCUCAGUGACUUUUAAUAAAAUGUAAGAAGUAGUAAGGGGGGAGGUGUCUUUGUCUGAAACUUUCAGCAGCAUCGCUUGUCGUUAACUCGAGGCACACAUUACCCUGUAGUUGCUAUAGUUUAUGGUGCAAGUUGGAGACCGAGGCUAAAAGUGGUACAUAAAUUUCCCAACACUGUCAUAUCUUGAAGGGGAUAAAGUCGAUAUCUGGGUCAAAGCCACAGGGCAGAUGGCGCAGGACUUUCAUUGCAGAGAAAUAGGAAUAUUCCUUUUGGUUGGAAAAAAGGGGUGGAAAAGGAAAACAGAGAAAAUGCUGAUGAAGACUGAACACCCCAAACCAGCAAGGAAAACCCAGUGCAUGGCAUGAAGCAAGCAAAUGGUGCUCCGCGUGUCUUGGAGCCAAAGUAUUUUGAGGUUAUGAAUGAAAUUGCAUCCCGUCUUACGCAGGCUACUUAUAUAUAAGAGCUGUGAAAAUCUGCAGAACUGCCGGUGUGCCACCUGCAAUCAUACAAAUAUGCCAAACUGAGAAUGAUCUGGAGAAUCUCAGCUUUCAUUUUAAAAGUUCCUGGCCAUUAUGGGUGCAGGGAGAGCCAUAAAAGCACAUUGCUAAGCAAAAGACAUUGUCGAGGAAGGGGCCUCUCAUUGAAGCAGCUAUUAACCACUUGCUACAGCUCCCUUUAUUUGCCUUCCUGGAAAUAAAAAUGAAUUAUCCCUCUCCUUCCACUUUUCAUAAACAAACAACAGCUUCUAGGAAUAUUUGGGUGGAGUCCUUAGAUUCAUAUAAUUGUAGAGUUGGAAGGAAGCCCACGGGUCAUCUAGUCUGACCCCCUGCAAUGCAGAAAUCUUAGCUAAAGCAUCCAUGACAGAUGGACACCCAAUCCCUGCUUAAAAACCUCCAAGAAAGGAGGAGGUCCACAACCUCCAAGGGAAACCAUUCCAAUAUUGAACGGCUCUUACUGUCAGAAAGCUGUUCCUGAUGUUUAGUUGGAAUCUUCUUUCUUGUAUCUUGAAGCCAUUGGUUCAAGUCCUACCCUCCAGAUCAGGAGAAAACAAGCUCACUCUAUCCUCCACAUGACAACGUAUGCCAGAGGGAGAGGCCAAGUGGUCAGAGACCAUUUUGACCAGAGAAGUGGUAGAGCAGCAAAAGGGCUAGGAACAUAGGAAGCUGACUUAUUAGUUCAUCUAACUCCUUAGGGUUUCUUUCGGCCCUUUCUGGAAAUGCUGGGGGCUGAAUCAGCAACAGGCAUGCCAAUCAGAUGCUCAACCACUGAGCUACAAACCCUUCCCCAAGUGUUCCCUUUCUCUUCCUUCUUUUCUGAUCCCCCUUCCCCUUCCAAAGGUACUUUCCCAUGGAGAACACAGCCACAAAGCAUGUGCUGCACAUGUCAGCCUGGAUAGCUCAGUUGGUUAGAGGGUGGUGGUGAUAAUGCCAAGGCUGCAGGUUUGAUCCCUGUAUGGGACAGCUGCAUAUUCCUGCAUUGCAGGGGGUUGGACUACAUGAUCCUCAGAGUCCCUUCCCACUCUGUAUUUGCAAGUGACGUGUCAUUAGGGCCUUAUUUUUGGCCCAAAGCAAAUGUUUGGCUAAAGCUGGAAUGCAUCACUUUAGCGAACAGGUGCUUCUGCUGGAUUUUACAGGGAGCGUUUCAUGCAUCAUGCUGACAAAAUUAAUGCUAAUAAUGGAGUCUCAAACUCGCAUAAGAUAAAUUUAGCUAUGAUAGAAAAAUGGAAACCCCAUAUUCAGAGGCAGUAUACUGGGUGCUGGAGCAGGCCACAAAGAAAGUUGUUGUUUUAUGCUCUGCUUUUAGGGUUCCUUGAUGGAUCAUCUAAUAUAACAUGGCUCUUAUUAUGUCCUUAUUGAAACGCUGUGAAGAUGUAAAUUUUAGUCAGGAUUUGUUCAUCAUUAGUAGCUUAAUCUGUGAGAAACAAAGCAGAAAAGAAUAUAGUAUCAGCUUCCCACUCGUGUUAAGCCAUCAGUGCAAGACCAAUGAAACUCAGUCAAGAACUGAAAAUCAAUACAAGCAUAUUACCAACUUACCGGCUGAAAGGGAAUAGAUUUUCUCAGGUAAAAGCUGCACACAGUUGGUAAGAUCAGACAGUGUCUGGCCUUAAAGAGCAAUAAUGCUCCUUACAGCCUUUCCAGGUGAUUCAUGCUCUACUGAUGGACAAUCUUGCUGCCCGCCCAAGUCGCAUUUAGCAGGAGCACCAUCACAGGAAUGUCAGAGAACAGAGCAGGGAGGAAUUAAAGUACCAAGGAAGGAGAGGGAAUGCAUUGCUUCCCCUCUGUAUGCAUCUUAGAUCCAUAUGGUUUCAUACUGAUGCAGAUAUAUACUUUAGAAUCAUGGAACUAUAGAGUUGGAAUGUACCCUCAAGGGCCAUCUAGUCCAACCCCCUGCAAUGCAGGAAUUUUUUGCUCAAUGUGGGGCUCGAACCCACAACCCUGAAAUUAAGGAGUCCCAUGCUCUACCAACUGAACUGUCUCAGCAGAACCUCCAGAGAUCCCCGUUAUGCUUGUGCAAAGAGGUAGAGGAAGAAGGAGCUGUUUCAAUUUGGUUGUGUAUUAGCAUCACCUCCAGUCCCACCUGCACAUGGACACAACGCUCCAUCAGCUCAAAAGGUUCAUGUGCCAAUCAGCAAAAUUUCAAACAUUAACUUUUUUUGAAAGGCUUUGCAGUGACCAUGUAUUAUAAUAUAUGCCAGGCUGCCAGGAGGGAAUUUGACCACAUACAUUUGUUCCUCCUUUUAAAAAGUACUCGCAGCAAUUUGAUACACAAACAACAACAACAACUGUACUAUUGUACAAUACUGUACUAUUUCAGUAUUCAGUAUAUUUAAGAACCUUGCUGCAGGUCUUGGCCCUCUAUCCAAGCCUGCUCCUAAAAAAACUUCAACAAGUGAAAAAUGCAGAUGCACACUUUACAGCAGGAACUUGCAGCGCAAGAAUGUCCUUAUACGAAUCUUUAGUGCUGCUGCUUUUUAGAACACUGUGUACCAUUCUGAUCAACCCAUCUCAAAAAGGAUAUCAUAGAAAAAUGCAAGCAAAGGAUCAAAGGUGUGGCGCAGCUCCCCUACAAGGAAAGGCAUUCGGUUUUUAGUCAGUUUUGGGGAGGGGGGAGACAGGGAAAGAUAGAAGUUGUAUGCAAGCUGUCUUUCAAGAAAGCAUCUCUUUCUUUACUGAUCUUAUCACUGAGGAAGCCCAGGGCUCUCCAGAGCAUGCUAAACAGUUGCCCUUAUUCUCCAGGUAAAUGCAAAUAAGCUAUUGUGUGCCAAUGCUACAAUGUUAAUAACAUUCAGAUAACCAAUAUAUCUGGACCAGUUGUAAACCAAUGACACAGGAAGAAGGCAGGUUGCAUAUCCAUAUCCCAUUACCAAAUCCCCUAAGCUACCUAGGCUGGGCUUAUGUUAGAAGCAAUGCCAUCUAUUGCAGAAGCUUCUUGACUUUCCAAAAGUAUUACAGGCACAAAGAGAGGCAGCUCCUAACCUAACACUAAAUAUCAGUCUCUUAUCAAAUUGAAGCUCCUGCCAUUCAAGAUCCUAGGAAAGGCUGUGGCAGAAAAACGAAAGGCUUUAUCCUGGCAGUAAUAUGCUGAAGCCCAGGGGUGGGGAACAUUUCUCUCGCAGAUGAUAUUUAGGGGGGUAGGCACACCCUAGCUGUGGGCAGGGCAAGUGAAAGCUGUGGGAGUGGUUCGAUCUAGCAGUGGGUGGUGCUAGAACCCAACAUGGGCAUUAUUCUUUUUCUCUGUCUCUUCCUGCUGCCUGCCAUUCAUCUCUUCCUGACAUUUUCUUAAUUCCUUCUCCCCUUCCAUGCAAUUUGCAUGAAAUUAGUAUUUUGCACUCAGACUUGCCCAACCUAGCUGUAACCAAUCUAUGCACUUUUUAAAAGGGGUUUGGCUUAGGAGAAUUCAGGUCGUGUGGCUCAAGGGAAAAAAAUUCAGGCCACCUUAAUGGGAGUGUUUGGCACCCUCAGUCCUGGGCUAGCUAUGGCCAGGCUGUCCAGAAGAGGCUUCAGUUGGUUCACUAGCCCUAGUUGGUGGUAAGGUAAAAGGUAAAGGGUAAAGAACCCCUGGAUAACCAAGACUUAACCAAGUCUUGUCAAGGGCGACGAUAGGGUUGCAGUGCUCAUCUCGCUUUGAGGCCGAGGAAGCUGGCGUUUGUCCACAGACAGCUUUCUGGGCCAUGUGGCCAGAAUGACUAAACAGCUUCUGAUGCAACAGAACACCAUGAUGGAAACCAGAGCAGAUGGAAACGCCGUGAGCCACCAAAGAUUGGGCUGGAUCUAAUAACAACCCCAGACUAUGAACAUGGACUUGCAGGGGGAGGACAUGCCCAUCCAAUGCAAGCCACACAUCAUUUUCCUGGCAUACCUAGACCAUCUACCAGCAGACUCUCCUUCUCAUUAGAAUGGACCUCCAGUAGUCAAUUAUCUAUAGUAAAUUUACUAAUUUAGCACUGCUGAUGUUUUGCCUGAAUUCUGUAAAAAUGCAGUAAAAAGGAGAAAAGGAGACUCCAACACUCUAGAGGACCUCACACAAAUGUUUCAUGAAGAUGCUAAACAGCAUGGGGGAUGAGAUAGAGCCUUGAGGCUCACCAUAGCAUGGGCAGGACAAUAAUAGUCCCCCAGCACCACCUUGUGGAAACAGCCACCUACAUAGGCAUGGAACCACCACUGAAGCACAGUGCCCCCAAUUUGACCACACAUUUUAUCAAGAAUGAGUAUCAAGGUUGAUUGCUUCGGAAACUGCUGAGAGGACCAGGAGAAUGAUCACGGUUGGGCUCCCCUCUCCUUCUCUCAAUGCUGGUCAUCAUCUGCACAAUCAAAGUUGUUUCAAGACCCAGAAUCUGGGCUGGAAACCAGAUUGAAAUGAAUCCACAUAACUAGUGUCAUCAGAUAGCAUCUGGAGUUCUGCAGCAGCCACUCAUUUAAGCAUCUUGCCUGUGCAUCUUUAAAACAAGCGUUUCCACACAGAGCAGAAAGUCCCCCCUCCCCUUCAGAAUGAACACCAGCAAUCCUAGGGACUUCUAAUUCAAGUUUAACAUUUAAAAUAACUGCAUCCUACAUAACACAACUAAGGUAGCUCUUUGGAUCAGAGCCAUCUAGUCGGUUCAGCAUUCUUUCCACUCUGCUUGAUGAAGUGUUCUGUAAAAGUUGCACACGCAGCCUAAGGAGCUCCAGCUUUUCCUUACUUUGGGUCUCCUGUCCUUUAGGCACUAACAUCUUUCAUACUGAGAGCCUUCAAAGGAGUCUUUGCCAUCCUUAGAAUUCUUUUCAGCUGAAGAAGCCUAAGUAAUUUGGAUUCUCGAGGUGCUGCUCACAAAGCCUUAAAAGGUGAAAUCUUAGCCUUGCAAUACCUGCCAGAAAAGGACUACAUCAAAUAAACAAAAAACAACAAGGAAAGCCUCCAGCUUUCAGGGAAGGCUUUAAGGCUUUAAGUCCCCAAGCGUUUCACCAUAAUAUAUCCUUGUUUCUGUCAUCUCCCACAAUAAAGGACAAAGUUAAGAAUAAUGCUAUCAUCAAUAUUACCUCAAGAACAAAACCUAAAUGUCUUUUUAGUAUCAUCUACCCUAUUAAAACACAAAAAGGUGGAAUUGUAAUGGAGAGGGGAAGCAUUUGUUUCUGAAUAUAUAGUAACUGAAAAUCUGUAAUUUUUUAGACCCCUUAAAAAGUGUUUUUCCUAUAUUGCAACGAAGUAGUACCCCAUUUUUCAAUAGCAGAGCUGUGCUUUAUAUGUACAGUGGUACCUCUGGUUGUGAAUGGGAUCCGUUCUGGAGGCCUGUUCGCAACAUGAAAAGAGCGCAACCUGCAGUGGUGUGUCUGCGCACGCGCGGGUUGCGAUUCAUGCUUCUGUGCAUGUGUGUGAUGUCAUUUUGUGCUUCUGCGCAUGUGCGAGCGGCGAAACAUGGAAGUAACCCUUUCCAGUAUUUCUGGGUCACCGCUGGACGUAACGUGAAAGAAUGUAACAUGAAACGGACAUAACAUGAGGCAUGACUGUAGUAGGUCCCAGGUUCAGAUCUCUUAACAUUUCUUGUUAAAACAAAGAAUCAUUAAGAGGUGACAAGAAGGACACUAAACCUUUAAAGUGCAAUCAAUGCACAUUUCCCCCCUCAAAGAAUUCUGGGCACUGUAGCUUACCCCUCACAGAGUUACAAUUCCCAGCAACCCUUAACACACUACGCUGGACAAAACUCUUUGAGGGUGGAAAUGUGUUUUGAAUGUGCUCAGUGGCAGCUAUGUGGUCUGUGGGACCCUGUGCACAGCCAUUUGGAGGGGGGCUCUAUUCGUUCACCUACCAUAUUUGCUCUGUAUGCUAUUUGCUCUGUAAACAUGGCUAUGUCAAAAUUAGUGGGGUAUGAGGAGAUUAUAAUAACUUAUCUGCCCUUGCAUUCCUCAAACAGCCUGGGAACAAACAAUCCCAGCUGUGGGCAUGGCAGGAAGAAGAGGUGAUGGUAAUAAUUAUGCCUCUGAAUUGAUCCCCCAUGUCAAAAACAAACAAACAAACAAACAAACAAACAAACAAACAAAACCUUGAGGAAAAAUAAGAAAAACCCUGAUAAUCAUCAAUGUUAUGCACCUGCACUUCCGCACCUGCAAACGACUUGGAAACAAUUGGAAUGGCAAUCAUAAUGAAGAUGCCAUUGCACUGGGCUCCCCACCUUCAAAAAUAAAAUCCAACAACUUGGGAACAAUCAGGAAAAAGAAGAUGAUGAAGGUGAAAAUGCUUUUACACCAGGCUCCUCCCCAAGAGCUUUGUAACAAUCUCUGUGUUAUGGCAUGCAGCUGAAACAGGAAAGAGCUGUGUUAUCUUCCCCACAACUUCAUAUUCCAUUGAGGCUCCUCUCAAGUAGCUGCCUGCUCUCUGUGCUGGCAGGCAGUAAAACAAACACAGCAGCAGCAGAGGAAGAGGAAGAUUCCCACGUUUCUUCCUAUACUCCCCAACACCAUUUUCACAUGACUGGCAGACAGCAAAAUGAGAAACAGGUAAUUCGCAUGCUUUCCCCGUCCCAUCCCAACACACACAAUAACAACAGCAGCAGCAGCAACAACAACAACUACCUGCCUGCCUACUGCUCCAUGUGGCUGACAGGCAGCAAAACGAAACAACUAGAGCAGCAAAUGGGUGGAUUCUUUGGGGCAGCAGGCCUUUUCUGAGUUGGCUCCCCACUUGUGGAAUUGUCCCCCUAGGGAAGCUCACCUGGUGCCUUUCUUACAUAUCUUUAGGCACCGGGCAAAAACCUUCUCUUCACAGGCCUUUGGCUGCUUAAACAAUUUAAGGCCUUUUAAACUGUGGGGGGUUAUCGUUUAUGUUUGUUAUAAGGUAUGUAUUUUGUUGGCUGAAGGGCAGUAUAGAAAUGCAAUAAAUAACAAUAAUAAUGUUAACAAUGAAUACUAAUAACAUGGGGGGACACCUUAGCUGCAGGGGACCCUCAUUAUGCACUUCCUGUACACACCCAUAAAUCCACUACUGAAUAUACUUUAAAGUUAUGAUGUGUAUGCAGCCUUUCUCUGCCUGAAACCCUUGAGAGAUGCUGUCAGUUAAGAGCAGACCAGGGAUGGGGAAUCUUUUUGAGCCUCAGGGCUGCUUUCCCUUCUGAGCAACCUUCCACAGGCCCCAUGCAAAGUGGUGGGUGUGGCCAAGGGAAAAGUAGGCGGAGAAAAUAAUGCACAUUUUAUAUUUAUACAUUAGGCUUGUUUCUACACACAGGGACACUCUAGGACGGUGUUUCCCAACCUUGAUGCUCCAGCUGUUUUUGAACUACAACUCCCAUAAUCCCUAGCUAGCAGGACCAGUGGUCAGGGAUGAUGGGAAGUGUAGUCCAAAAACAGCUGGAGUCUCAAGGUUGGGAAACACUGCUCUAGGAAAGCAUUACUGGUUAUCUAGGACACAUUCCAGCCAGGCAAAAACACUCAAGGAGGGCCAAUAGAGUGUGUCCUUGAGAGAGAUGGUAUGGCCUGGGAAGAGUCCUGAGAUCCUGCUAGAGAAGGUGGGGAGGCUGCAUUCAGCUCCCAGGCCUGAGGCUGAACUCACUUUCGAUCCCUUAUUUGCAUAUGUGGACCUGAACUAUCUACAGUAUCCCCCUGCUGGCCCAGGGUGAGAACUUCAGUACACAACACCCACCCCUUAAGUAGACAACAUGGGGUUAGAUGGAGAAACAGUCUGACCUGCCAAAUGGGCCUCUAAUCUAAUUUAGGCAAUUGAGUAUGAUAAAUGAAAGGGGAAAUAAAGUAAUAAAUUGGAAGGAAGAGAAGACCAAAAACAAUCAGGCGUGGGCUGGCUGAAAUAAAUGACUCCACAGUUGCUUUCAGAAAAAGGAAGGGGAUCAAUUGAACAAAUAUUAGAAGGUAGAAGAAUAAAUACCAAGAGAAAAAACAUGAUGAUGCAAAACUGAAAGCACACUUUGACAAAGAACCAAGAACCAGAAGAAUACAAAGGGCAAGGAGGAAAAUGCAGGCAAGCCAAGAGGAGAGUUGGAGGCAGGAUCUAAGCUUUGGUCGGUAUUGGCAGGUCUCCAGGGUCUCAGGCAGAGGCCCUUCCUCAAACGGAAUAGAUUUUCAAGAGCACUUUGUGAUAUGGCACAGCAAAAACAAGGCACCAACAACAGCAGGAGGGAGGGACAGCACUGCAGCUCACACAGGAAAUGAACAUAAACCACCAACCAAUGCCAGACAUCUGAAGGAAUGUGAGGUGCAGGGACAGCAUUGGGUCAUGGUCUGCAGGCAUGGUGUCUUAGUCCAUGCCCUCUCUUUUGAAAGGGGAAGAACCACUUGAGUUUGGCCAUCUUACAUACAGGCCUGCUUGAGAAAUUGCUGUGAUGCAUGUUAGGACCUAUCCAGAUUUCUGCUUGCCCCACUGCUUGCUCCUGGAAAAACCCUGAAUCAAAGCAAACAUCAGUUGGGUUUUCUCCAGAUUGACGUUUGCUCUGAUUUAGUGCUAAAGAGAGGGUUUUCCGGGAGAAAGCAGUAAGGCAAAGGCAAAAUCACUGAGCCCCCUGCCUAGAAAGCAAGGGACAAGUGGGAAACCACUCAGACUUGUGGUGGUGGAGACUUUAAUUUAGGUUGUGGGUGUGGAAUCUGGUGUCUUCUAGAUCAUGUUGGACUUCUGCUACCGUCAGCCUCCCCACCAGCAUGGUCAAUGUUCAGGGAUUACAGAACAUCUGGAGGGCUACAAGUUAUCCAUCUCUUCUUUAGGCAGACCAAUCAAACACCCACCUCACCACAACAUUCUCCUUGGCUCUUGCUACUGGGCAGCAAGGAAGUGGGGAGGUGCAUAUUGGGGUUCGCUGAAACCCCAAUCUCAUUGGACACCUCCCCCUGCUGCCUAGCUGAUUGGCCCUCAGAAUAGCCAAGGAGAAUCCUUCUCAACCUUUCCCAGUGUAGUAGCCAGGUUUGAGCCCCCUGUCACUGCCGCCGCCGCCGCUUAUGUUUCUAAGGCACAAAGUGGGUACAUACAUAGGCGGAGCAGUUAUAGUAGAAAUGUAUCUAGUGGCCCUGCCUCUGAAUAUAUCCAUCCUUUGUGAAAGUAUCUGUCUUGCAUGGCCUGAUGUUCCAUAUAAGGUGAGAAGUAAGAACCCAGGAAAGUGACUGGCUCUGCCUGGUGGUCAGUGGCGGAGCUUCAUGCUCUGGCACCGAGGGCGGAGAGCAGGCGGGGAGGUGGCUGGUGCAUGUCCCGGGGGCGUGGCACGUCGCAUGCAGGGGCGCGGCGCACGUCCUGGGGGUGUGGCGUGCAUCCUGGGGGCGUGAUGCGCCGCCUGCGUCCAGCGCUGGGGAGGCAGCUGUAAUGGCACCCCACUGGGAUCGUGGUGCCGGGGGCGGUGUGCUCCCCCUGCCCUCCUCUUCCUCUGCCAGUGCUGGUGGUACCAUGUGCUGUAUAAGGAAAAUAUCAAAAUACAGGAGAGAGAUUGGUGGUGUUUGUUACAAGAUGUUUGGUAUAAAAAGGCCCCAGAAACAGUGCUUGGGGGGGGGUCUCAGUUCUUUAGGGAGUGAUCCCCCUGAGUCUAUUCGCUGUACAGCUGAAAUAAAGAAUCUUGGACUCUCUCCUCCUGUCUCUUGAGUCUGAUUGGUUGGACCCAGGAAGAGCAGGGGUUCUCCUGCUAAACCAGCACAAAUCAGCUGGACAGAGGGGAGGUGAUCUGGGGGUCACAGGCUGCGCAUAUGUGCUUUCAAGCCCAACCUAUCCAUGAGGCAAGGUUAGGUGACUUCACAAAGGCAGCAGACCCCCAAUGUAGAUCUUUAUUCCAUCCUUGUUGCUGAUAUAGAUCUUCACAUACCCCUUCUUCUCUGGCGGGGAAGGGGGUGCGUCAUUUUGUGGUUCACCUCAGGUGCCAACAUGUCUUGGGUUAGCCCUGUGUGCUCUAAAGUACUUUCAGGGACUGCCAGCUUUCUAUAUAAUCCUGGGGAAGGGUACCCCUCUCUCAUGCAUUGGGUUUUUCAUCCCCCACUAAAAAAGUCAGCGUUUGAGAGCAAUGCCCAUGCCAUGAAAUCCCAAUUCCUCUUCAAAAGAAUUUAAAAGUGAUUAGAGAGAGGGAAACCAUUUGCCAAGAUGUCUACUUCAGCAGAACUAAAAGCUAGCAGGCAAUAAUGGUUGUUUGUCAUUGUUUGAUUUGCUUAAUGAAUGAGCAUUUGUUUUAGCUCUGAAAAGAGGGGAAAGGCUUAUUUAGGCAUAUUAACUUCAGGAAGAAAUUGUCACUGCUGCUGAGAUCCUAACCACAUGCAGGGAGUAGAUGUGCAAUAAUUAAUACUGGAAUGCUCUGCAAAUCACCUUCCAGAUUCUGCCGAACUCUCCUGCUGGGUCAAAUGCUGUGAAGCCCACAGAGGUGAAAUUGCACCAUGGUUUACUGCUGCCACUCUUCCAGCUGUGCCACCUCCAGUAUACCACAGGGGGGGUUUAAAGGAACGAAUCAGGAAAACAAAUCCCUCUUUUUCUUUCAGUGGGAUUUGCAUGCUGACAUUUCUUCAGGAUUUCUGAAAAGCUCACCCACACGAGGGGCUGUGCUUUACAUCUCACGGUGUGCAGAGGGAACACAGAAAGUGGGCAGGAGGGUGUAAAAAGAUGUUUGUUUCCACACACCCCCAAGCCCAGCCUAGUUACCAAAGAGUACAUCUGUUGCGUUGCUCUGGUCUCCCUUAUAUAGCAAGAGUUGUUAUUUCUGAAAUCUUCUGUAAUUCUAGUCAAAUAGCUAGGGCGUGUGAUUGUACUGGUUUAUUGGCCAGGACUGUGCUUAUGCUGUGAUGUAGAGGGAGCAUGGAAAAACGAUUGUGAUAUUAGGAUGUGGAAUUCAGCUUCCUGUGAAUUUCAACUUGCUUUCUUUUUCUUUCUUUCUUUUUUUUUUUUUAAGGUGAAGAUACCUUUAUUUAAUUCUUUGUACCUGUAAAGUCACUUUUGUACAGAUUUUAUUUUUUCAACAACAAUUGCAGAAAACAUAAAUAGUAAACCUUUUGAACGUUUCCUAAAAUUAAGUUGCAAAAGUUCUCUGGAAGACAUUCGUUGAAGGCCAUCUUAGUAAGACUUGUUGUGUUUUGCUUUGUGUCUGUGUGUGGUUUUCUUCAAUACAAUCAGUAGAUAGAUCGCCUCAGCACAAAGGAAAAAAAACAAGGUGUUUUUUUUGGUAAUUCAUAAUAAAAAGGAAGUUUAGAGACAUCGUGGUGGCAGAUAAGUGCUUAGAAACAUCUAGCCCAUGCUUGUUGAAUAAGGUCAAUAAUUGGAGGUAGAAUACUGAUACCAGGCAGGUGCCUUCCCUGUGUUCUUUGUUUUAUCCUUUUUGUAAACCGCUUUGUGUUUUUUUCCUGCAUUCAAGUGGUAUAUAAAUUUUUAUUAACUAAUAAAUAAAUAGGUUUCAACAUCCUGCAGAACUCAUUUUUACUCCCCUUGUUUGGCCGAUUCACAGCAAUGCAGAACUAUGCAAAGGAAUGUAAAAUGUCUACUUUGCAUGAAUGAUAGAAUUGCACAAUUUAACUCUCCUUGGUGCAGCUUUUGAGUUUCAAAGCUGUACUUCUGGGCAUGUUGCAGAAUUCCCAGUCACAUAUCAUCCAUCAAAAUGCCUGGGUGAAUAUGGAACAUCUUUUCUUGUCUCUUGUCUCUAAAAGAUAGUAUAUGGUAAUUUACUAUCUCUGGAGCAGGAAUUCCCAUGAUGGGGUACACCACGGUCAAAAAGACCCCAAACCCUUCCAGCCCCAGAAGGCAGGGGUCCCCAGAACAGAAGAGUCUUCCUGAGAAUUGUUAGGUUUUCGUUUAAAAACAGCAGCAGCAGCAGCAGCAGCAGCAAUGGGGUUACUGAGUUCACUCUCCUCAUGCAACAGUACUAUAGCCAGAAAGGAGUUGCUUGGCUGUAUGUGACAUUUAGUUAAACUUUCUGAUCACUCUUAAGAUGGAAAACCCCACCAAUGUUCCCAGAAAAAUUCCAGAACUAUAAAUCACUCCCUUAUAUAGGCAGCACACUUUAACACAAUUAAAUCUUGCAGUAUAUUUCUUGACUUUAACCCAGUAAGCCUGCCAGAGAACAAUACUGGCACUCCUUGCUCCUAUGCCAAGGUCAUUGAUCUUUGAGAUGAGUGGAAUGAGCAGACACAAGUCAUACUUCUAAUCAUAUGGAGGCACUGGAAAGAGAAAAUAGCCAGGUACCUGCCCAAGCCAGCAAAAUGGGAAGUGAGGAAGCCAGCAGGUUCAGACCUGCCUUGCAGCACAUGGUAUUAUUGAUUUGGGACCAAGGAGCAUAGUCCCCAUACUAGGCUACUCCAGCCAAUAGACUUCCAUUACCUUAAGACUAUGGCACAAUAGAGAAUGGACACUUAACACCUUGAAACAUGAUCAUCACUAUUUCCAAGGUGGAGAUCGCAGGCCAGGUGCUAUCAGAUUACACACAUCGGCUAUAUAGAGCCCCUAGCUGUAUUUGCUUGGUCAGUCAGAAUAAACCAAGUGUAUGGUGUUUAUGUGGGGGAGCAGGAUUGCAAUAGCAAACUCCAACCCAAACUAUGCACAUUCAGUUGGUUGCAUGAAUAGUACAUAGAUAUGUGUGUCGACUCCGUAAACAUGACCAGGGACCUGGCAGAGCCCCAUUGUGCAGAUCAAUCUAUCCCUCUAAGUUUGUACUUGUGUAAGGUCUGCUCAUGUCAUGUGUGGCCAACUAAACAAGGAGAAGUGAGAGGUGGAAUCUGCCACCACAAACCUGCUUCCACCCCCUACACACAUUCAUUGUUCCCCAAGUACAGGGCUUCUGCGAACACUUCUAGUUGGCUUGCCAGCUCUUGAGAUUUAAUUUCUAGUGUUCUUCUUAGGGUGUUUGGAAAAAUGGGCCUCAGAGUGAGAAGCUAGAACCAAGGAGAUGGGUUCUUUCUUUUCUGCUUUCCUUUAGUGUUCUUGAUAUUUUCUACAUUUCACCAUGUCUUUCAGGCUCCAUCCCUCAGACAGGCUCUUCUAACUGGCCAGCUAUGUUACCCGCUGCUUCCACUAAGCACCCCAGGACUCUGUCAAAUCUCACUGCCAGACUCCAUCACUGAUCUGCCAGGAUGGAAACAUGUCUUGUUGGCUAUGUCCACGCAGCAGGGUCUGAGUUUUGGGAGACCUGGAAUACUUAGGGUGGCUAAAGGGUGAUGAGAAGUUAGAAAUUUUAUUCUAGAUUAAUUAACAGGAUGCCUUUGUUAUGUGUUACCUUCUGAACUGGGCUGCCACUGACAUUUUUCUUCCAUCGUUCUGCAUUGGAAAGAGGCACACAUUCAGCACAACCCUUGCAGAUUCCCAUUUUUAGCAGGUUUGCCAGCUUUUUCCUCAAAGCAACCUGUUUCCAUCCCCUCAGGCUGAGCCUGCAGGGGGAGAUAAAGAAAUCCUUCCUUGACUUGUAAACAGGGGAGACUUUAUAUAUGGAUAAAGCCAUUACUCCCUUCCUUAGCGGUUGCUAAUUUUAGGACAGUGCCAUGCAAAGUCAUUAUAGGUUAGUUGUAUGCUAAUUUUCUCUCUCUUCCUUAUCUCUUUCAGUGUUCUGAGAUCUUAGGGGUUUAUCCAGCAGGGAUGAUCUGUUUUUAUGGUCAGGCAUACCAAAACCUGUAAGAGUGCCAGGAAAUCCUAAUGCUUCUGCCUGCCUCCCCAGGGAUAAGCUUGCCCUGAGGAUUAAUUCCCCUGCCUGGAGUUUCAAGAUUAAGAAUCUGUGUUAUUCUAAUUCACAUCCUCAGCAACUUUGCCAAGAAAUGAUGACUUCUGCCCUGCACAAGAGCAAGAAUUCAGACCUCCUGAACCAUAGAUUCCCAGAAGGCAGCAGUAAAUCAGAAAUUCUGCCUUCCUCGAAGCCUAACAUAAUGGCUUUCUGCUAGCUAUCUUGGCUCACGGUUAUUAUUUGUAAAGCUUAACAUGGGAGGCUAGUGCACAUGGUGAGUUAUUACAGAAUGGCUGCUGGUGGGUGUAGCUGAACAAGACCUUUUAACACUUUCCAUGAACAAGGAAACCAUUUCCAGAAGUCCCUUGGAACCUGAUCUUUGACAGUGAAAGUCUCUGACCUCCUGUUUCCCAUAUCAUUGGAAUAAAUUGCACGAGCAGGAUCUAUUAAAGUCCAAAAUGACACAUUGCAUGUAGUUUUGAGAUUCCAUUAAAUGCGGGUGCGCACACCUCCUGGGGAAAACUUAGCAGCCACAACAGGCUUUGGAUUUAGCAGAGGACUGGUGGGUGGGACUGCAUUAUCAUUUCUUUGCAAGCAAGUUGAUUUUUUCCCUGAGGACCGUAUUUUUUUCUCUUGCAGGUAGGGAAGCAGGGGUGGGAGACAUCAGAUCUGAAAUUUCAAUAAUGGCCAGUCUGAAGGUUAGGGCUGGCUUUAAGGAGAGAGCAUGUGCUCUCAGCCUCCAGGAAACCCGCCCUGCCAUGGCAAACUGGAGAUUCAGGCCUUAACAGGGGGGAGGGGGGGCUUCCAACUCUGCAGUCCUAUGAGUCUAUGAUUCUCUUAGCACAGCUAUGAACAUGGUCCAGGAGAGUAAAGUGGGUGCUGGAAUAGGUGACAGUGUUAUCUGAGUGUGUGCAGAGGGCAGCUCAGCGAAAGACGAGCAUAUUGGGGGCUACACUCUUACUUGAGUCACCCGACUUGCAUGGGAGCACAGCCCCAAAAGACGUGCAUCCCGAUUUUCCUCUGUGGCAUGUUGGAGGGUAUGUCAUUUGCAUCAUCAAACAUCAUCAAACACAAGAGUGCUGCUGGUUUUGGUCCAAGGCCCCUCAGGUCCAGCAUUCUAUUCUUACACAUGGGAAGCCCAGAAAUACGAAACAAGAGCACUCUUCCCAGGUGUGAUUCCCACCAGCUGAUAUUCAGAGGCACAAAACUGCCACCCCACAGAGCCAGAGGCUCCUCAUGAAGUGGUGCCUAGUACAGUCUGAGGACACUUCCAGAUCCUGUGAGGCCAGCGUGCAUGGAGUCUUCUGGCUUUGCAAGAACAUUUUUACCUUCAACGAACUGUAGCAUUAUACAUCAUAAAAGCAAUCAAUUGCAUGUUCUCUUUCAGAAUGUUAAUAUUCUUUGGCUGCUUCUGCGAGCAAAGCAAAAGGCUUCAACUUCCCAUACAGUAAACCUGAUAAUACACAAUGUUAAUUUCUAUAAUAAUAAUAAUUGUAAUUGCAAUUGUAAAGCAACAGCAACUUUAAUGUCACUAUGGCUGCAAUAUACACCCCCAUUAUUUGGAAAUAAGCCCCAGCGAACUCAAUGGGAUUUGCUUCUGAUGUACAGGACUGCACUCUAUAUAAAUAUUUGCUUCAAAUAUGUUACUUUUCCGGAAUUCUAAGAUAGUAUUUGCAAAAAUAGAAUUGGCAUAUGAUAAUAUAUUUUUUAAAAGGGCUUCGGGUUCAUAUGUUUCAUUAGUUGCCACUGGAAAAAGUGUCCAAAUGUCAUACUAUUAAUUACCAAUUUGUAGUUUAAUAUAGUCUGUUCCAAUGUAUCAGGCUGCAGCUCUUACUUUCUUGUAGGAAAUGCCAUUUAAAAAGGAUGACCUUUCUGUUUGAGGAUAGGUCCAGAAAUAAGAAACAAGAGGAUAUUCAAAGAUGCUCUGGAGGGUUAAUUUAAUUUUAGGAAAUUGACUAAGAAAUAUUAUUUUUAUAGGGUACAACAAUAGUACUACUUUAACUACUAUUAAUAAAUAUAAAACAUACACAUAACAAUUGAAUUAUUAGUCUCCUUAGCAUUAUAUACAAUGCAUCCAAAAAUAUACAAAACCUGUACAGCAUAUCAAUAUUAUCAAACAGUGAGACAGAUGCAGAAGAUUCAUUGAAUCAUAGAAUCAUAGAAUCAUAGAGUUGGAAGAGACCACAAGGGCCAUCGAGUCCAACCCCCUGCCCAGCAGGAAACACCAUCAGAGCACUCCUGACAUAUGGUUGUCAAGCCUCUGCAGUCACACAAUUUCCGCAGUCACACAAUCAAUCAAUCAAUCAUAAAACAAAAAACAAGCAACAAUCACAAAAAUUAAAAAGCCAUAAAAACGCGAAAAAUAGCAAAAACAAAAGCACCAAAAAUCACCUCAGAACACUGCAAUCAGAAAUGGAAGGCUUUAAUUAUGAUGGGGUGGAUUCAGAUGAGUGGUGCAAGGGCAGAAGAGGGAGGAAAAAAGGCUUAAUUACAUUCGGGGGGGACCCAAAUGAACAGUGCAAGGUAGAAGCGGGAAGAGUAAAGGCUUAAUUACUAUGCAAGGGACUGAAAUUUGCUACGCAACAGUAAAAACAGAAGCUCAUGGACCCCAUUUGGGUUCCGGGGCAAAGUUUGAAAACAUAGAAUCAUAGAGUUGGAAGAGACCACAAGGGCCAUCGAGUCCAACCCCCUGCCAAGCAGGAAACACCGUCAGAGCACUCCUGACAUAUGGUUGUCAAGCCUCUGCUUAAAGACCUCCAAAGAAGGAGACUCCACCACACUCCUUGGCAGCAAAUUCCACUGUCGAACAGCUCUUACUGUCAGGAAGUUCUUCCUAAUGUUUAGGUGGAAUCUUCUUUCUUGUAGUUUGGAUCCAUUGCUCCAUGUCCGCUUCUCCGUGUCAUUGAGUUCAAUGAGACUUACUCCCAUGUAAGCAGGUAGAGCAUUGCAGCCUGAAUAGGCUUUGUUAAAUUUAAAAAGCUAUUCCCUUUAAAACAAAGGGAUAUAUUUUGGUUAUAUUUCUUGGCAUUUUCUUCAUAGGAGAAUCAUCACAUAGAAGCAAUAAAUUUAAUGAACAAAGCAAACAGUAGUUUGAAAAAUAAAUGUUUUCAAAAAAAUUUAGUUUAAAUUUAUCUCCACUCUUUUAAAAACAAAAUAAAAAAAAUUCCUUCCAGUAGCACCUUAGAGACCAACUACCGUUAGUUUGUUAUUGGUAUGAGCUUUCGUGUGCAGGCACACUUCUUCAGAUAUCUCGUGCAUGCACAUGAAAGCUCAUACCAAUAACAAACUUAGUUGGUCUCUAAGGUGCUACUGGAAGGAAUUUUUUUAUUUUGUUUCGACUACGGCAGACCUACCUGUAACUAUGCACUUUUUAAAGUAAUCUUUUUAUUAAGCUUUUAUUUAUAUCAACACAACUUACAUAGCCUUAAACCCACCCACCCCCCACAAAAAAGGAAACUUAUGUUGAGGGUGGAGAGACAGGGUGUGGGUCAGCACUUCUUCCCAAGUUUUUUUAAUUUAUGGGAGUGUCAUAAUCAAAAUAACUUGGCAUUCACCUAGGCAUAGAAAUCAGCAUAUGCUUGUCAUAGAGAUAGCUAAGCAGCACCUGAUUUCACUAAUGUCAAGUGAUGAUAGGUCUUCUGUCCCUUUGCCGAUGGCUAGACUGAAUUUACAGCAUUGUAAAACAAUAUUUUGGGCAAUCAACAGGGUGUGACUAAUCCAUUUCCCCCAGGGGAGGAUAAGAUUCCAUACAGAUGGGAAGCAUUAUCCAUACUAUUUUGUCUGCAAGUUUUAGGUAUGUCUCCGGAAACAAGCUGAUACAGACAAUAAAUUCUGUCCAGCACUGACACACAACACAAGAGUACAACAUAGUUGGCAUGUCCAAAUGCAGUGAUAAGCCAAGAACCUUACAGUGCACGGGCCAUGUGCUUGGUUUGCUUCGAUUUUGGACCUCCCCUAGUGCAAGGAAGUAAACAAACUAGCUUAGUGCUACUUUUGACCCCAGGAUCAUGAGUUGGCUUGGGCAGCAUUGGUCAACAAAGUAGAUCCUCUACUAUGGAGGACUUUUUGGAAGCACUGACAGCAAAAGGACUACAUUUAGAACCAGUUUAUGUUUCAAUUGCAGGAGGUGUCACUAGGAAGUGUCAAGAGGUCCAUAUGAUUCUCAAAAGUAACAAAAGGGGGCAAAAACUACCGUACUUGCUUGUGUAUUCAUUGCUCAAACAUAGGGAUUUGAUUAACUGUCCAUGUGUUUCACAAAAACAUGUAUACAACAAUGUUGAGUUUAUUUUUAUUUUCUUACAUUUAUAUCCACCUUUUCCCCUUACCUCAUGGAACCCAAGGUUCCCAAAAUGUCACCCACCCAGGCAUUGAUCAGACCCAAAUCUGGUUAGUUUCAGCAACCUGGUGGCUUCAUAUGCCCUUUGACUUUAUGCCAAAUUAUUUCAUUUUUAAAAUAUGCAUACAGGUUAAAGUUGUGUUAAUGGUGUGGGAUAUUCUAUGUCUCUCGGGUAGGGGUAGAGAUGGUAGAAAGUUAGCAAAAUUAUAAAUAAGUUUGAAACUAAGGGUUGUCCACCCUGUCAAUGGAGAAAGGUGUUCUCGUAUUGCCCAGGCUGGUGUUUCAUAUGAGAAUGCUGGCUGAGGAUGUAGUCUGGAGACAAGAGAACCUUGGAUAGCAAGAAAUUUGGGAAAUUAAAGCCUCCUUCUUCGACAGGAAAUUGGAAUCAAUGUAACAAAUAUAUGGGAUGUUGUGUGCUCCAUCUAAAGGCAAUAAAAAGCUUAUUGACACGUGCAAAAUAGGAAUAUUUGCAAUCAAUACAUAAAUUAAGUGUGGCAUCACAUUCAUUUUGAUUAUUUAAAUUUUAUUCUAGAUGCUAUUGGAUAAUGUAACCCACUGAUCCAAGUCAAGUUUAUAGCACAAUAUGAUUCUUGUUGUCUUUGACCAUGGAGGCUAUAUUACAUGCUAUUUUGAUUCCUGGGUUUGUUAGCCCCUGGGGAUCUGAUACUGGAGCACCAAAACUAUGGGGGAAAUUUCCUGUGCCUUGGGGCAUCUCAGAAGCCAUAGGAAGCAUUGGAUCUCCCUCCCUGAGGGCAGAAAGGGGAUUCUGACUUUGGGAGAGGGAGAUCCAGGAUAACCCACUUCCUGCUGCAUCUGCAACUUUUGCUCUACCAACACCAAAACUCUGUUGUCAGUAGGACUGCAAGGGGGCCAUGCAGAGAAUUUACUGAGAUUGUGUCAGAUGCAGGCCAGUGAAAACGUUUGGAUCUGAAGGAUCCAGUGCCUUCCCAUUCCUCUCACACACUCCUAAACCAGUGAGAAAACGAAUUCCAAUCCUGGAACUGGCAUUGUUUAUUUCCCAUUUAGCAGCAGCUAAAUCCUUUAAGAAAAUAAAAACUCAGAAAAGGUCAGAGGGGAACUAGAGUGCUGAUUGGCUCUUGUGUCUGCCUUGAGGGCAAGAAACCCAGCAGGGUGUUGGAUGAGGCGAUCAGCCACUUUAAGUUUUUGCCGCUUAAAGACAUUCGUUCCCAUUUGGAUCAAUCUGUGGUCUAUGCCCAAUAGAUGGCAAAUUUGUGAAUCAAAUCACAUGAAGCUGGUAAAGUUUCAAGGUCAUCGAGAAAUAACAAAUCUGGGUGAUUCAGUAGAAAGUUUUAAAAUAGAAAUGCCUUCCCCUUUUAAUAUAUGCCUUUCAUUCUUAAAAGAUAUUGAUUCCACUGCCUCAAAAGUAAAAUCCAUAGGCUUGUAGAUGAAAAUGCUUCACUGGCCAGGUGCUUGUCCUAAGGUAGGAACAUGACUUUUAUAUUCUCCUAUUUGUAUAUUAAGUUUUCUUGCUAUCCCAUCCAAGUCCUGUUUAAAGAAGGGAGUGCAGCUAAAGAUGCCCAUUGACAGACAGCACCAGGACAGAGGACUAAGCAAGCAUGUGAUCACCUGGUCAGGCUUCCCCACUAGGGUGUGAUGUAUGGUAUUUCUAUUUAAAUUAUCAUCAUUGUUUUCAAAUUUGUAACUACAGUAUGCCUAAAAUUUAGCACAUUCAAUGUUAAGUAAACCUGCACCCUCUUCUUUCAUUUGUGUGUAUGUGAUACAUUUCCUCUGUUUUGGCAAGGUGUAAGAUGUUAGUUCAAUGAAAAAAAUAGGUAUAAAAGUAGAAUUCCCUGGAUGCCAAGAUCCAGAUUUGGGACAAGUACUCUUUAGUGAGAGAACCCCAGCAGAGAUUUUAAAUCACAAAAUAUGCAGCAAAGUAAAGCGAGGAAAUAUAGGCUGCUAGACCUUUGAAAUAUACUCUGCUAGUUCUUUCCAAAGUUUCCUACUUCACCUAGCAUAGUUUGGUAAGUUAAACUUUUACCUAUUCUCCAAAGCUCAUAUCCAUGUGCUUUUCCAUAUAAUAUUCAGAAAAAGUUAGACAGGCAGUAAAACUUGGCUUAGUUGCAAAGUGGUGAACGUUCCUAAAUUAUUGGUGAAGGAACUAAAAAAUGGCUCGUGAGAGUCAUGUGGUCUGAGCUUGGAGGAACCAGCUCAGGCCUUCUCACAUGUUGAGCUGUUCUGGCAGAAUGAAGAACAAAGGCUAGAUUACCUAGUCCCUCCCAACGUGAGUUAAACCUGUCAGGACAGCUUACUCUAUGGUCUUAACCCUUUCAUGUGUUAAUUAGACUUAAUCAUGUUGGUUAUGUGAGGCUGGUUUUCCCACGUAACUUUCCAUCCUAAAAGAUACACAGCAUUUCCAGGGGGAAAGACUUUUUGAAGUUCAGGAGAACUGAUCACAAAGUACCCAUUGCUCUUGAAAACAGAAUUUAGCAGGGCAGGCCUUAUGCUCUUAUGACAGAUACCACCUUUCUUCACUUAUACAUACCAUCUUUCUAAGGCUCAAGAUGGUUUACAUAAAAUAAUUAAAAUAGAACAAUAUCAAACUGUGUUUGAAAGUAUAAGCUACUGCAGCAAUAACAAUACAUGUAGCAUAUUCAGCAGAGAAAGCAUAGUCAUUCAAAGCAUUUACCUCCAUCCAUAAGUCAAACAAAAGAGUUAGUUUUUGUAGCCUAUUCAGAAUGAUGCAGAGUUUCUUGGAAAUUCUGAACUGGAAAAAUGUUCACUGCCCUAAAUCGAUGGGGAUCUAAUUUAGCAGACUUAAAGUUAUUAAAAGAUUUGUUGCAAAACUAUCUAAUUUCUUUUUGCAAUAGCCAAAAGUAGUUUAACUGAAAUAUUAGAUUGGGGGAGGGGGGAGGGAUUGAAUAAAAUGCAAUAGGGAAUUAUAUUCAUCAGAAUACUUUUAAAUAUUUUAAGACAUGACAGCUCAAUAACAUACACUUCCCUUACAUUAUUCAGAUUUUAAGGGAGGGAAAUGAAGGCUCUGUUAAUAUAUUAAUUUUAACAUGCCUCCAGAGCUAGGCACAUAACUAUAUGGUCUGUCAAAGUUAAUUAUCACUUCGAUUUUAGAUUUGACUAGCAUCCAUUCCAGCUGCCCAGUCUGACUUGUAUUGUGUCAAUUCCUUGUGAUGCUGAUUAAUUUUAUGAAACAAUGCAUUUCUGAAAGUGGAAACAUUUAAGGUUGGAAAAAUAUACCCACAACAAGGUUGCAUCGAAGACUCAUGCCAAUGACUGAAAAGGCCCCACUCCUGGGUUUCUGUAUCCUGCCCCGGUCCUUGGAGAAUUGAUCUAUAAAUUCUCUAAGCUACUCAAGGUCUAAGAAUUUCACAUCAAAUAUUAUGGAGUGCUGUAUGCAAGAGAGAAGGGCCCCCUGUUUCUGGGAAUAAGAUAUAAAUACUGUGCUAAUUCUGAAGACUUUAUUCUUGGAAGGAAUGUGAACAGCAUGACGGGACUCCUCAAAAAUAAGCAUAUUCUUGAAACACUGAAGAACAAUCUGUUGCCAGAAGCACCGUAUUAAAUAUCACUUUCUGAAAUGCAGAUUGCUAUCUGCGAAUAAAAAUGUCAUUGCCACCUGGGAUUAGUAUUCCAUUGUAGUCACAUGAGCCCAUGUGAAGCACAACCGUCAGGUAAUUCUCAUAUUAAGAGUCCUUUUAUUCUUCCUGUUCCACCUAAACUCUAGUUGUGAAGAUGCAUUUGGUUCCGCCUGCUAUAUAACCUUGGCUGGUGCAAUUAGUUGAUUCAGAUGAGGAAUAGUGUCCUGGAAAGGUAUGGUCUGGGGACACCUGAUGCAGCCACCUUGCUCAAGCUUAGCAGGUUUGGGACUGGUCAGUGCCUGGAUUAGGAGACCAGCUGAGGAUUCUAUGCACACUGCCUCGCCUUCCAUGUUAAAUAAAUAUUUGGGGGAAAGACAAAGGAGUAAAAUCGGUGGCAAGAUUUUGAAUUUGGAAAAUGAAAAGUGUUCGGUUAGUUUAGAAGCGUCCUCCACUUUGACCUGGGAGAGUGGGGAUCCCAACAAACAUUCAUAGUUUCACAAAAUUGUAGAAUUGGAAGGGACCACAAGGGUCAUUAAGUCCAACCUCCUGUAAUGCAGGAAUCUUUUGCCCAACAUGGGGCUCAAACCCAUGACUCUGAGAUUGAGUCUGAUGCUCCACUGACUGAGCUAGAGUUGGCUCAUGUUGGCAUCCAUCUGUCUCGAGAGACAAUGGAGUCUACCUCCAAGGGUGAAGUCAAACCGCUGGAGAAUCACAGCACCUGGUGUGGCUUCAAAGACUGGUAACUUGUAACUGCUGCCUACUGAAUUGUUUCUGCAGCAACAGCAAAGUGACCUCUCCAGGGCACAAGCCUGGGCAGUGUACAUGGAGGUCCUGGGUUGCCCAGGUGACAAGACCUCUCGGCCUUGCUGCUGUGCCCCAGAGAAAAGCAGAGCAACCAGCUUGGCUGCAGGUGUUGUUGGAAGGAGACUGUCCCCAGUGCUUUUCUUUUCUAAAAAAAAUGUUUAGGGGUGCUCUCAUUUUCCUACUCAUAUUGAAAUACUGCCCCUCAAUGAGGCCUAACUUAGAUUCACAAAAUAUUUAGGGGUAUGCGCACCCCUACGUCCCCCCAGAAAAAAGCACUGACUAUCCCAGAGCCUAGGACUUGCCGAUCAGAAGGUCAGUGGUUCGAAUCCCCGCAAUGGGGUGAGCUCCUGUUGCUCGGUCCCUGAUCCUGCCAACCUAGCAGUUUGAAAGCACGUCAAAGUGCAAGUAGAUAAAUAGGUACCACUCCGGCAGGAAGGUAAACAGUGUUUCUGUGCGCUGCUCUGGUUCGCCAGAAGCAGCUUAGUCAUGCUGGCCACAUGACCCAGAAGCUGUCUGCUGACAAACGCCGGCUCCCUCGGCCAGUAAAGCGAGAUGAGUGCCGCAACCCCAGAGUUGGCCACGACUGGACCUAAUGGUCAGGGGUCCCUUUACCUUUACCUAUCCCUACCCAUGGCCAAGGUAUUGGUGAGUUCCGACAGAAUGAGUGCAUUUUAUAUACAGUACAGCCAAUUUGCAAAAUACACAACACUGCUGCAUUCAGCCUUCGCUCAGGUGUUAUGUAAGUAAGACGGGUCAGAGUAAAAGAAGGCUAUUAUGGAGCUUUCGGGUACCUGAGAAGGGGCAGUAAUUUCCUCUAAUCAACUAAACUGGCAAGGUAUAGAGAAGUGUGAAGGAAUUCAAUAUUCUGGGAAAACCAGGUUACUCUUUCUGUAAUUCUUAAAAGUGAGCAUUGACCAGUUGCCUUGGCAACAAGAGCUAUGUGGAGCUGUAAUUUAGAACCGAGGCAGGGAGGUUUUUGUUUUUAAAUCUUCACAUUUAAAUAGGAAGAAAGGGAAAAGGCUACUAGGUGGGCAUGCCUAGAUGAUGGUGGUGGUGGUGGUUGUCGUGAGGUUGAUGCCUUCUGUGGAAAAAAAGGCCCAGGAUAAAGAAGAAAGCUUGAAUUCUUCAAAGAAACUGAUUGCAGUGUACAGUGGUACCUCGGGUUAAGAACUUAAUUCGUUCUGAAGGUCUGUUCUUAACCUGAAACUGUUCUUAACCUGAAGCACC